rnacentral:lncRNA from 1 species
AUUGUGCCUGCUAUUCUAUUCACCUAGGGUCGACGAAGAUGUACCAUGAUCUCAGAUGUUUAUAUUGGCGGGAUGAAAUGAAAAAAGACAUAGCAGAGUUCGUCGCUCCGAGUUGCCAGCAGGUUAAGAUUGAGCACCAGAAGCCCGGUGGGCUAUUGCAAGAGAUGGAGAUACCGACGUGGAAGUGGGAAAUCAUUAAUAUGGAUUUUGUUUCAGGUUUACCUCGCACUCCACGGAGGUAUGAUUCCAUUUGGGUUAUGUUAUAACUCGUAUUUUAUGCAUUGGAACAGUUACGAAAAGUUGGGACCUAAGUGUCAUUAUUAGAAAAUUUAGGAACAAAGAGGUAUUAAUGGAAAGUUUGGGGCCAAAGUAUAAUUUUUUUAAAAGUUGAGGUCUUGAAGAAAAGUGAGGGUGUCCCACUUGACUUGUGUUAUUCUUUGGUUGGGCUAAGUGUGGUGUGGACCACACUUGGUAAGUCUUGGAACACUUAUAAUUAUAUACACCUUACAAGAUUAUCUCUUCUUUCUCAAAACUAAAUUCCAUACUUAGAAAAAAAAACAUCAAGAGCGCACAAGAAGAGGCCCUCGGGUUAGGCACAAGGAAAAUCAAAAUUUUCUUUUCUUCAUUUCAAAGCUAAUUUGAUGGUAUAAACCUCCUAUUUUGAGUCUUCUAAGCAACUUGGAGUAGUGAUUGAAGCAAGAAAACAUUUGGUUGCUCACUUUUGGAACCUUAGCCAAGUUGAAGGAUUGAAGUGCUAAGGUAAACAUUUAUCUUGUUUUAUGUGUGAUUAAGGUUGUAUAUAUGUGGUAGUGUGCUAAAUUAAAAGAAAAUCAUGAAAGAUAGCAUGUUAAAAGUGAGUUGUGUAUGUUGGGGUUGGGGGCAAAUUUGGUAUAUGCAUGAUUAUAGUAUUAUAUUGUAUUGGAACCAUGAGUUUAUGUUUAAUUAGCAUGAAUAUGAUCUUUGUAGGGUGAAGGAAGUGUUGGAAAUUAUCUAUGUGUAUUAUAGGGUGUGGCCAAAAUCCUUGGAAUGGUAGUACAUGUUGAUACAUUGUAUUAUUGUUGUUGUAAUGUUGUUUAAGUUGGUUGUUGUUGUUGUGGGACUAUUGUUAUUGAUUGAGCCGAGUUGGGUCUCGGGGCAGCCUAUGUUUUAGGAGAAGUGUUACCGAAAUUUUUGCAAAAUUGGGGGGCAAACUUGGAAUUUAAGGCCCAAAAAGCAUUUAACUAAUCGUUUGGCGUUAUUAUGAAUUAAUUGUAGACAUUGGGCAUCCUGAAGCUUAAGUUGAAUUGGGUUUGCAUCUAGAUUAGUUCGAAGAAGUGAGCGAGGUAUGUAAAGCAUUCUGUUCUUUGGCAUGACUUAGAUAAACGUAGAUAAUGAUAUGAGUCUCGAGAGACCUCCUUUUCUCGCAACUCGAGCUUGUAUAUGACUUAUGAUUGUUCCUUGGCAUUCUUAUGAAAGUUUAUCAUAUUCUUGGCUCCUAUGUCUUUGAAGUUUGAAAAAUUGUAAGAAUAUGUAAAAAUUUGAUAAGUUUGGAAGAAUCUAUUCUCUAGUAGUUUUAAAAGUUUAAAUGCUCAUCAAAAAGUGGAAUGAUAGUCUAAAUGGGCAACUACCUCCUUAUCAAAAAGUAUAAUGGCCAAAUAGAGCUCUAUAGAUUGUAGGAGCAAAAGUGAAGAGGCUAUAUUAUGAAUUGUUGAUGAUACUUAUGGUGGAAAAGCUAGCACUGGUUUCUUAUUAAAUAGACAUUAUUGGAGAAAUAAGAAAGCGAAUUUAUCAUUUUAUCAAAUUAAUGUCUUUUUUUUUGCACUAAAAGAACUCUGAUCUGGCUGUGCAGAUACUAAGCUACUAAUCUGAUACACCUAAAUCUUGAGUUCUCAACAUUUUGAUGUUCUAAAACUGACAUUAUCAAAUUGCUCCCAAACACUGAAGGUGUUACCAUUCAUUUGAUUUUGGAUGAACAAAAGAAGUGCAGUGGCAUAUGCUUAUCAACAAAACAGAGAAGUACGCUGUCAGAUGAUUAGCUCAUUGCUUUUAAUUAGUGAUUGGCUGCCCCCAUUUGCCCUCAUCAUAUUAAACUCAAGAUACCUCUUAGUCUUUUGAAAGCAUAGUAUCAAUUGGAAAUGGACAGCUUUCAGCCCAAAGGUGUUGGUAGUUGGGAUUUGGUUAUUUUCUGUUUCCAAAAUAUUCUAGCAAACGUUCAGUAGGAUGUUAAGAAUUAGGGGACGUGGUCUAUGUAGAAUAUCAUUAUGCUUGUUAAAGGUAAAAAUGGUGUCAAACUAAUAGAAAGCUCAAAUUGCUUUGAAAUCAAUUUUAAAAUUCCUCAUAGUAGUUUGUAUGAUCUAGGUUAAGUAUAUUCCUCCUAAGUCAGGCUAGUUCGAGUUUUCAUCGGUCGUGGGACCCGCAACACCCUUUUAUGAAGUUCUUGUAGCUUUGAAAGAAUUUAACAUAGAUAUUGUUUUGAUUUUGCAUAUGAAUAUUUUACUUAUGUUUGGGAAUUAUGAUAAUGAUUUUGUGCAUAUGAUAUACUCCGAUGUUAAGUUGUGUUUGACGGUGGGUACGGGGACGGCGAUGCGUAACGCCCAGCUCACUUAUCUGUUAUGUGGUGUUUGAUGUUAUGCUAUGCUGGGUAAGUACGGGGACGACGAUACGUAAUGCCCAACUCACAUUGGCUGCUUCUGUAUUAUGAUAAGUGUGUACGGGGACGGCAAUAUGUAACGCCCGACUCACCUAUGUUAUUCCUGUAUAGGAGCGUGUGAAACAGGGAUGGCGAUACGUAAUGCCUGGCUCACUUACGCUAUUUCUGUAUGAUGAUAUGUGAGAUAGGGAUGGCGAUACGUAAUGCCUGGCUCACUUAUCCUAUGUUUGAUAUGUAAUGGGUGAGCGACCAUAUUUCCUGUGCCCUAUGAAUGAUUAGUAUUUUGGAAAGUAGACGUUUUGUGAUUUGAAUCUUGAAAGUAGACAUUUUGAUAUUUUUGGAUAUAUACUUGCUCUCUGUACUUUUGUUUCAGUUAUCCCUCAGUUUCAUGUAUUGGGAAGUAAGUAUAUUGGUAUUUUCGAUAUGCAUUUACUUUUAUACUUUGGUCUCGUUUGCUACACAGCUUUAUGUUUUGUAUCCUCUGCUUGCAUGUUCAGUACGUAUUUUGUACUGACUCUCCAUUUCUUCGGGGGCUGCGUUUCAUGCCCGCAGGUACGAUGUACAGGUAGGUGACCCACCAGCUUAGGAUUCCCACUUGUUAUCUGAAGUGCUCCCUUUGUUUCGGAGCCUACGUUUAGUAUACUCUUGUUUAUUAUUUUGCACAUACAUUCAUUCGAGGGUACGACAGGGCCCUGUCACAUCCUAUGAUUCUGUUUGUUUGGUUUGAGGUCUGUGGACGCCUGUGUAUGUGGGUCGUGCCAAUAUGUAUGACUGUAUAUGUAUGAUGUGUAUGUUGAGCAAUUUUAACCGUCAUGGUGGCCUUGUCGGCCCGUAUGUAUAUGUAUAUGCUGUUCUGUUGGAUUUUUCUGUGCGCAGGGUAUUUGGAUUAAUAUAUAAACAAAGGAAACUCUGCCAAAAUUUAUGAAAAAUUAAGAUAUCUGUUUGUAAUCUGGCUUGGUGUUUGCGUUUGGGUGCCCAAUUCGGGUACUAGUCACGGCCCACGGGGCUGGGUCGUGACAGGUUAUUGUUGAUCGGCUGACGAAAUCAGCCCAUUUUUUUCCGGUCCGGACUACCUACUCAGCUGAGGAUUAUGCCAGGCUUUAUGUCAGGGAAAUUGUGCGAUUUCAUGGUGUUCCUAUUUCUAUUAUCUCCGACAGAGGUGCCCAGUUCACUGCAAAUUUCUGGAGGUCGUUUCAGGCAGGCUUGGGGAUGCAGGUGAGUCUCAGUAUAGCAUUCCAUCCCCAGUCUGAUGGACAGGCCGAGCGUAAUAUUCAAACAUUGGAAGAUAUGUUCGAGCCUGCGUCAUUGAUUUCAGAGGUAGCUGGGAUGAUCAUUUGCCACUCGUUGAAUUUGCUUAUAAUAACAGCUACUACUCUAGUAUUCAGAUGGCACAUUAUGAGGCAUUGUAUGGCAGAAAGUGUAGCUCAAUGAUCAGUUGGUUUGAUGUUGGAGAGACUGAGUUGAUUGGCCCAGACGUGAUUCAGCAGGCAGUGGAUAAGGUGAAACUUAUUCGGGAAUGGUUAUUAGCAGCUUCGAGUCGAUAAAAAUCUUAUGCAAAUAAUCGCCGUCGGCAUUUAGAGUUCCAGAUUAGUGACUGGGUAUUCCUUAAAGUGUCACCUAUGAAAGGUGUUAUGAGGUUUGGCAAGAAAGGAAAGCUCAGUCCGAGAUAUAUUGGGCCAUAUCAGAUUGUCCAUAGAAUAGGCAAUGUUGCCUAUGAAUUAGAUCUGUCAGCUGAUUUGGAAGCGGUACACCAGGUAUUCCAUGUUUCUAUGCUUCGUAAGUAUAUUGGCAACCCCUCAGAAUCUUCCCUGUGGAUGAUAUCCUGGUCACAGAGGAACUAUCUUAUGAAGAGCAGCCUGUAACCAUAUUGGAUCAUCAGGUAAGGAAGUUAUGAAAUAAAGAUGUGGCUUCUAUUAAAGUGCUAUGGAGAAAUAAUAACCGAGAGAAAAUGACCUGGGAAGCUGAAGAAUAGAUGAAGAAGAAGUAUCCUCGCUUGUUUUCAGUGCCUACAGGUAAUUCCAUUCUUCACUUGACUUCGUUGCUUGACAAAUAAAUUGUUGACCAAUGAAUGUAUUGUUGUGAUAAUUAAAAAGGAAACUCCCCCAAAUUGUUUGUAUGACCCGUAAGGCUGGUUUAACAUUCGAGGAUGAAUGUUCUAAGGAGGGGAGAAUGUUAGAACUCGUAUGUCCUUCAUUGGAACAACUAGGAAAAGUUUGGGACCAAAAGUGAAAUUUUUGGAAGUUGGAAAUCAUGAACUAAUUAAGUGGUGCCCACACAAACUUAUGUCAACUUUUAAUUGGGACAAGCAUGGUGUGGGCCAUGUACACUUGGCCAAAUCUUACCCUAUAUAUACAAGAUGACCAUUUCAUUUCCCUUAUCACUUAACACCUAGAAAAAUAAGAGAAAAACAAAGCAAAAAGUUGAAGAACUUCUAGUGAAGCUCUCGGCCAAGACCAAGAAUUUUAGAAAAACAUUUCUAGCCUUUCUAAAAAUUAUUUUGUAACACCCCACACACACUAUAAGUAUUUGUACUAUACAUAUGAAACAUGAAAUGGAUUUUCAAAUGAGUGCCAAUUUUAAAAGUGUUUUCAUCUCGCGUUAAAGGGCGUCAUGUGUAUCUAAAGUUUAAGAAAGUUGUGUGUAUACAUGCUUUGGGUCGAGUUAAGGGGACUAAGACCCUAAAAAAAGGAUAGCAAAUUGAGGUGCUUGUAGGACUUAGAAAGCUAGCAGGUGAGUCAGCUACUUGCUUAGCUUGAACUUGCGAGUUAAACGGAGAUGAGACCCGACGUCGAAUUUGCUCUAGUCCAAUUAUGAAUGGAAUUCGUGUUAAGGGUGUAUCUUUGGACCAUCUUUUAGCACUGUAAAUGGUCUAUACUUUCAGCCCAAUAUGAAGAAUAACAAGGGCCCAAAUGCAUCACAAUUCACUUGACUAAAUUGGGCCAAGGUUAAGUGAAAAAGGAUUUGCAAAUAGGCAGCCCAAGGUCCAUUUUGUUGGAGGCCCAAUUUGGCCCAUGUUUAAGUAGUAAGUUGCUGCAUCACCAGCCUCCCAAUACAUGUUAAUAUGUGGUCUAAAACGUGGGAGUAAGUCGGCCAAAAAAAAGCCUAACAAUUUCCACAAACAUUUGGAUACAUUUUUCACCUUUCUUAAGAAAUCUUUUCUCUCCUUUCUCUACAUCAAAGAGCAGCCAACUUAACACUCUAGGGUUCUUGAAGGACAUCUUAAUCUUGAAGGAUAAGGUAAGAAAUCUUAAGUAUAUGUUUAGUAUAAUCUUCUUAUGACAAACAAGAGAGUAUGUUGGUUGUGUUGAUGCUGAAAUUUCUGGACAGCAUGUGUUGUUGAUAUUGCUGUGUACUUUUCUUGUUGAUUAUGAGUUAUUUCUCUUCUUGGUUUGCUGUAGUAUGAAGUAUUACUUAUGUACUUAACAAAGGAUAGGUUGGCAGUGGUAUAAUCAGGCUAUUUGAUUGUCUUUACAGUCCAUAAAAGUGAGUUUUUAUAUGAUGUCGCAAUUGUGUAGUUGAUUGAACUUGUGGACUGAUGUAUAUAGGGCUAUUGCUUCACAUCUUUCAUGACUGAUUUGGUACUUUCCUGAGAUUGUUUGAAGGCUGCUAGUAUGUAUAAAUGUGUUGAAAACAGUUUGGUUAAAGUUGGGAUAGGUUUGGAAUUGCCAAGGUCGAAAGGCAGUGAAAAGGUGUAACGUUAUGUUGUCCAUUUGUGUAUUGUGUAAAACUGCUAUGUGUUCUAUUUUUGGGGGCUGUUGUAAGACUGUUAUGGUACUACAAUAGGUUGUACAUGAUAUGUAGAUGAGAAUGUAUGUUAGAAAACACAAUUAGAAGCAAAGACGUUGGAGGAAUACACUUGAGUAAUAACUACAUGUUUGCUACCCAUGUAUCGUUUAUGUAUGAGAUUGGGUUACCUAGAUGUUUUUGUUGGAUGUUAAUGCUAGUUUUAUCACCUACUAUGUUGUAGAUAAAUAAUUUGAGGAAUGGCAGGUUGUUCCAGGGUAAUAGCGAGGUCAUACAGCGAGGUAUGUAAGGCUAUUUGCUUUCGUUUCAUUUGGCAUGAAAUCUAAAGUUCUCCUUGGUACAUAAAAGCACUUACCAACUCCAACAUGACUACUAGCUAUGUUUCCACUCUUGCACAUGUUUAUAUGCCCUCAUACAUAGUCACCUUCAUAGCUAUAUACAGAUGUGGAUACCAACUUACAUGAGUUAUUGUUGUCAAAUAAAGUUCAUAAGUUGCUUUACCUCAUAUGCAUUUUAUUAUUGGUGUAACGUACUCUUGCCAUUGUCAUACUGUCUUGUAUGGCUGUCUACAUGUCAUAUGCUGCAAAUACAGUUCUAUAGCUCUAAUAAUGUGACUACCAAAAGAUCAUCUUAAAGGUAAUUCAAAGGCAAAGGUAAAGUAUAUUGCUUAUAGAUAGGUGGUAGCCCGAGGGGGCUAGAAUACUAGCCUAGCAUAGGGACGAUCCUAUCAUGGGGGGUAGCCCGAGAGGGCUAGAAUACUAGCCUACCAUAAGGACGAAUCCGAUACAGUUUACCCCUGAUCAGCUGGGUCUUUUAUAGUAUGCUGUGCACAGAUUUUACAGAGUUUACAGUAAAGGUAAAGUGAUAUAAAGAAUGUAAAAUACAUGAUCCCACAGUAUAAUCAAAGGUGGUCUUUUAUCAUACAUCAGUGCAUAGUUUCAUUUGAGUUGUUAUUUCAUAUACAGUGUUUCCUACCUUACAUAUUCAGUACAUUAUCUCGUACUGACAUUCCUUAUGGGGGACCUGCAUUUCAUACUGCAGGUACAGGUACAAGUAGAUCUCCCCAGUAGGAGUACAGGAUAUCCAGUUAUGGUUACCAAGCUCCAGGUUGCUUCGGGGCUUUGCAUGUCUAAAGAUUAUAUAUAUUUGUAUUGUACAGUUGUUGAGGCGGGGCCUGUCCCGACCCUUAUAAAAUAUUUUCCCUAUUUAGAGGCUUUGUAGACUAUGUAAAUUAAAGUGUGGUCAUAUGUGGUACUUUGGACAGCGCGGCCCCAACGGCCGAGUCAUAUGUUUUUCCUUUUAGCUUAUUAGUGCUAUUUACUUUCUUAAAGGCAUACUGGGGGUGAAAUUCCUUAUAAUGCAUAUAGAAGACGCAUAGGUACAGUUGGUUCUCUCGGGCCUUAUCGGCAACGGGUGCCAGUUCGCCUUAAUGGGAUUUGGGGCGUGACAAAAGUGGUAUCAGAGCGGGUCAUCCUAGGGAGUCUACAAAGCCAUGUCUAUGUAGAGUCUUGUUUAUCAAUGUGUUGUGCACCACAUUUAUAAGCAGGAGGCUAUGUGGCAUUUAAGAGUUGUUACUUUCUGUUCAUUCUUCAGAUCAUGCCAUAGAGCCAAGUGUAAUAGGUGGAUUAUGUCUAACCCUAAAUUGUUUUGUACAGCAAGUAUGUCAGAAACCAGGAAGAACAAAGGUAAAGGAAAGGAAGUGGAGGUGGUGGUUGGUUUAGCCAGCCAGGGGAGGCAACGAAAUGAGGCCCAAGAUGAGUCUCUAUCACAGACAUUUUUAAUUCCUUCAGCUCCUAAUGAACCUGGGAGUAGUGAAAUUUCCCCAGAACCACUUAUUGAUGCUACAGUGCAGGAUUUGAGAAAUGCAGUUCAAUUAUUGACACGUAUAGUUGCUACCCAAAGUCAAAGACAAGAAGUCCAGUUAUAUAUAUAGGUAGGGUGACUAGGGCAGCUGGUACGAGGAUAUAUGACUUUCUUAAUUUAAACCCUCCAUUAUUCACUAGGUCAGAUCCUAAUAAAUAUCCCUAUGACUUUAUUGAUCAAACUUAACGCACUUUGGAUGUUAUGCAUGUCAGUGGUACAAGAGAUGCCGAAUUAGUGACAUAUAGGUCGAAGGGUGUGGCUAUAUUGUGGUAUGAAACCUGGAAGCAAUCUAAGGAUAUAGAUGCACCUCCAACUACUUGGGAAGAGUUCAAAGAGGUAUUGUUUUGACCAUUACUUGCCAUUAGAGAUCUGAGAGUUAGAAAGGGCCCAGUCCAAGAGGGCCAGGUCUACAGGGCAGUUUACACUAUCCCAGGUCACAGGUACAUUGUCUAUCUUUUUACAUAAUGUGUAUGCCUAAAUUGACCCUGGUUCUACACUAUCAUACAUUACCCCACUAGUUGCUGGAAGGCUUAAGAGGACACCUAUAUUAUUGAACAAACCAUUUAAAGUUCCCAUGCCAACCGGUAAAUCUGUUUAGCUAGAAGAGUAUAUCAUGACUGCAUAGUAACUAUUUGUAAUCGAGACACAUUGGUUGACCUUAUUGAGCUCGAAAUGGUGGAAUUUGAUGUGUGUAUGGAUUGGUCAGCUUCCUGCUAUGCCACUGUGGAUUGCCGAAUUAAGAAAGUGUAUUUCCACUUUCCAAAUGAGGUAGUUCUUGAAUGAGAAGGCAAUGUUAGGGCACCAAAGGGGAAGUUUAUCUCUUAUCUUAAGGCAGGAAGGAUGAUAUCUAAGGGGUACAUAUGUCAUUUAGUUAGAGUAAGGGAUACGGAGGCAGAAUCACCAACCCUUCAAUCAGUUCCAGUGGUAAAUAAAUUUGUUGAUAUGUUCCCUGAAGAACUUCUAGGUUUACCUCCAGAAUGAGAAGUAGAUCUUGGUACUGACCUACUUCCAGGCAUUCAACCUAUUUUUAUCCCUCCAUAUAGAAUGGCCUCGGUAGAAUUUUGUGAAUUAAAGAAGUAGUUGAAAGACUUAUAGGAGAAGGGUUUUAUCAAACCUAGUGUGUCCUCUUAGGGUGCACUAGUGUUAUUUGUACGUAAAAAAGAAAAAAAAAGAGAUAGCACCUUCAGAAUAUGUGUCGACUAUCGACAAUUGAAUAAGGUGACAAUUAAGAAUAAAUACCCCCCUCCCCAGGAUUGAUGACUUAUUUGAUCAGUUAUAGAGUGCCAAAUGCUUCUCAAAAAUUGAUUUAAGACCAGGAUAUCACCAAGUGAGGGUAAGGGAAAAAGAUAUACCUAAGACUGCUUUUAGAACCCGGUAUAGUCACUUUGAAUUUCUUAUUAUGUCAUUUGGGCUAAUGCAUGCACUAGUAGUUUUUUAUGGACCUGACGAAUAGGGUGUUUAAGCCAUUCUUGGAUGCGUCCAUGAUAGUAUUCAUAGAUGAUAUUUUGGUAUAUUCAGAAGCCAGAAGAGGGUCACACAAAUUACUUAGGGCAAGUGUAACAGAUUCUUCGUGAUAGAUAAUUGUACACCAAAUUUUCUAAAUGUGAGUUUUGGCUAACUUAGUGGCAUUCUUGGGUCAUAUUGUAUCUGAUGAAAGGAUAAGGGUUGAUUCACAAAAGAUAGAGGCUGUAAAACAUUGACCAAGACCAACAAGCCCACAAAAGUAUGGAACUUCCUAGGUUUAGCAGGUUAUUACAGGAGGUUUAUUGAGGGUUUUCUUUUAUUUCUGUACCCCUAACAAAGUUAACACAUAAGACAACUAAGUUCCAAUGGAAUGAUGUGUGUGAAAGGAGUUUCUAAGGGUUAAAGGAUAAGCUAAGUUUUGUACCCGUGCUAGUACUAUCAGAAGGCACUGAGGGGUGUGCAGUAUACUGCAAUGCCUUUGUACUGACACAACAUGGUAGGUUAAUUGGUUAUGCAUCCAGACAGCGACGGUCACAUGAGAGAAACUAUCCAACGCAUGACCUUGAGUUAGCAGUAGUUGUGUUUGCUUUGAAAAAUAUGGUGCCACUAUUUAUAUGGGGUUCACAUUGACAUCUAUACUGAUCAUAAGAGUUUACAGUAUAUUACCAGGAAGAAGACCUAAACAUAAGACACUGGAGAUAGUUAGAGCUAAUAAAAGACUAUGACGUUGAUAUACUAUACCAUACAGGGAAAGCAAUCAUGAAUACUGGUGACCAAGCCAUAGUAAGUCAACAAGUGGUUAAAGAUUUACGACAACUAGCUAGUUUGGGAGUUCGCCUUCUUGAAACUCCAAAGGAAGGGAUUGUUAUACAAAAUGCAACAACAUCUUUAUUGGUAAUGGAGGUCAACGAAAAGCAGUUCAAGGAUCCUAUUCUAUGACAACUUAAGAACAAGGUGAGUCAGGGUAAGAUAAAGGGCUUUGACCUUGCACAAAAUAGAGUAUUGUAUUGCCAAAAUAGAUUAUGUGUGCCAAAUAUUAAUAGGUUAAGAAAAAGGAUAGUGGGGGAAGCCCAUCAUUCCAGAUAUUCCAUCUAUCGAGGAUUAGCUAAGAUGUACCAUGACCUAAGAGGAAUGUUUUAACCUGAGAGGAAUUUUUUAACCUGAGGGGAAUGUUCUGGUGGGAAGGCAUGAAAAAGGACCUUGCAAAAUUUGUGGCUCAAUGUCCAAAUUGUCAACAGGUGAAAGUAGAACACCAAAAGCCAAGAGGUUAUAUGCAAUGUAUAGAAAUUCCAACAUGGAAAUAGGAUAUGAUCAAUAUGGAUUUUGUUACUGGUUUACCUCGCUCAUUUCAGAAGUUUGACUCCAUAUGGGUAAUAGUUGAUAGACUCACAAAGUCAGCGCAUUUCUUGCCAGUUAAGAGUGAUUAUAUAUUGGAAGAGCAUGCCAAGCUAUACCUUAAAGAGAUAGUCAGGCUGCAUGGAGUCCCAACAAGCCAUGGAAAAAGAGUUAAGGUAAUAUAGCAGUGGUUAGAAAUGGCCCAAAGUCGUCAUAAAUCAUAUGCGGAUGCUAGAAGAAAAGGACUGGAAUUCUCAGUAGGGGUUUAGUUAUUCUUUAAGGUAUCUCCAAUGAAAGGAGUUAUGAGAUUUGAUAAGAAAGGAAAAUUGAGUCCACGUUACAUAGGACCAUAUCAGAUUACUAAGAGAUUUGGGCAGAUUGCAUAUGAAUUAGAGCUACCCCAAGAGCUUUCAAUGGUUCAUCCAGUUUUCCAUGUCUCGAUGCUUCGAAAAUGCAUAGGUGACCCAUCCCGUAUCACUCUUAUUAAGGAUGUACAGGUUACAAAAGAUCUCACAUACGAAGAGGUACCUAUUGCUAUUCUACAUCGACAAGUUAAGAAGCUAAAGAAUAAAUAAAUAACUUCAAUUAAAGUACUCUGGAGAAACCAGGAGGCUGAAUCAAGAUAUCCUUACUUAUUUAAAGCUGAAGAGGAAGUCCAACAUGUAGAAUUGAGGCCCUAAUAGGUACGUGUGAUUGAAUACUUGGUGUGUUGUUAAAAGUUUGUAUAAGUAAAGAUUUAAACAUGGUUAAAGUAUCUAACUAUGCUAACAUUCAAGGACGAAUGUUCCUAAGGGGAGAGGAUGUAACACCCCACACAUACUAUAAGUAUUUUUCCUAUACAUAUGAAACAUGAUAUGGAUUUUCAAAUGAGUGCCAAUUUUAAAAGUGUUUGCAUCUCGCGUUAAAGGGUGUCAUAUGUAUCUAAAGUUUAAGAAAGUUGUGUGUAUACAUGCUUUGCAUCGAGUUAAGGGGACUAAGACCCUAAACAAAGGAUAGCAAAUUGAGGUGCUUGUAGGACUUAGGAAGCUAGCAGGUGAGUCAGCUACUUGCUUAGCUUGAACUUGCGAGUUAAACAGAGAUGAGACCCGACGUCAAAUUUGCUCAAGUCCAAUUGUGAAUGGAAUCUGUGUUAAGGGUGUAUCUUUGGACCAUCUUUUAGCACUGUAAAUGGGCUAUACUUUCAGCCCAAUAUGAAGAAUAACAAGGUCCUAAAUGCAUCACAAUUCACUUGACUAAAUUGGGCCAAGGUUAAGUGAAAAAGGAUUUGCAAAUAGGCAGCCCAAGGUCCAUUCUGUUGGAGGCCCAAUUUGGCCCAUGUUUAAGUAGUACGCUGCUGCAUCACCAGCCUCCCAAUACAUAUUAAUAUGUGGUCUAAAACGUGGGAGUAAGUUGACAAAAAAAAAGCCUAACAAUUUCCACAAACGUUUGGAUACAUUUUUCAGCUUUCUUAAGAAAUCUUUUCUCUCCUUUCUCUACAUCAACGACCAACCAACUUAACCCUCUAGGGUUCUUGAAGGAGUAUGUAUAAAUAUGUUGAAAACAUUUUGGUUAUAGUUGGGAUAGGUUUGGAAUUGCUGACGUCGAAAGGUAGCGAAAAGGUGUAACGUUAUGCUGUCCAUUUGUAUGUUGUGUAAAACUGCUAUGUGUUCUGUUUUGGGGGCUAUUGUAAAACUGUUAUGGUACUACAAUAGGUUGUACAUGAUAUGUAGAUGAGAAUGUGUGUUAGAAAACACAAUUAGAAGUGAAGACGUUGGAGGAAUACACUUGAGUAAUAACUAUAUGUUUGCUGCCCGUGUAUCGUUUAUGUAUGAGAUUGGGUUACCUAGAUGUUUUUGUUGGAUAUUAGUGCUAGUUUUAUCACCUACUAUGUUAUAGAUAAAUAAUUAGAGGAAGGGCAGGUUGUCCCAAGGUAAUAGCAAGGUCAUACAGCGAGUUAUGUAAGGCUAUUUGCUUUCGUUUCAUUUGGCAUGAAAUCUAAAGUUCUCCUUGGUACAUAAAAGCACUUACCAACUUCAACAUGACUACUAGCUAAGUUUUCACUCUUGCACAUGUUUAUAUGCCCUCAUACAUAGUCAUCUUCAUAGCUAUGUACAGAUGUGGAUACCAACUUACAUGAGUUAUUGUUAUCAAAUAAAGUUCAUAAGUUUCUUUACCUCAUAUGCAUUUUAUUAUUGGUGUAACGUACUCUUGCCAUUAUCAUACUGUCUUGUAUGGCUGUCUACAUGUCAUAUGCUGCAAAUACUGUUCUACAGCUCCAAUAAUAUGACCACCAAAAGAUCAUCUUAAAGGUAAUUCAAAGGCAAAGGUAAAGUAUAUUGCUUAUAGAUAGGUGGUAGCCCGAGGGGGCUAGAAUACUAGCCUAGCAUAGGGACGAUCCUAUCACGAGGGGUAGCCCGAGGGGGCUAGAAUACUAGCCUACCAUAAGGACGAACCUGAUACAGUUUACCCCUGAUCAGCUAAGUCUUUUAUAGUAUGCUGUGCACAGAUUUUACAGAGUUUACAGUAAAGGUAAAGUGAUAUAAGGAAUGUAAAGUACAUGAUCCCACAGUAUAAUCAAAGGUGGUCUUUUAUCAUACAUCAGUGCAUAGUUUCAUUUGAGUUGUUAUUUCAUAUACAGUGUUUCCUGCCUUACAUAUUCAGUAUAUUAUCUUGUAUUGACAUCCCUUAUGGGGGGACCUGCAUUUCAUAAUGGGGGGACAGGUACAAGUAGAUCUCCCCAGUAGGAGUACAGGAUAUCCAGCUAUGGUUACCAAGCUCCAGGUUGCUUUGGGGCUUUGCAUGUCUAGAGAUUAUAUAUAUUUAUGUUGUACAGUUGUCGAGGCGGGGCCUGUCCCGACCCUUAUAAAAUAUUUUCCCUAUUUAGAGGCUUUAUAGACUAUGUAAAUUAAAGUGUGGUCAUAUAUGGUACUUUGGACAGCAUGGCCCCAACGGCCGAGUCAUAUAUUUUUCCUUUUGGCUUGUUAGUGCUAUUUACUUUCUUAAAGGCAUACUGGGGGUGAAAUUUCUUAUAAUGCAUAUAGAAGAUGCAUAGGUACAGUUGGUUCUCCCGGGCCUUAUUGGCAACGGGUGCCAGUUCGCCUUAAUGGGAUUUGGGGCGUGACAUAUUUGUUGAUGUAAACCCCCUAUAUUGAGGUCCCUAAGUAGCGUGGAAGUGUUGUUCGAGCGAUUUGUCCUCUAAUUUCUCACUUUUGGAAACCUAGCCCAUUUGUGGAGUUGAAGAGAAAAGGUAAGAUUUGAUCUUGUUUUAUGCGUUAUAAAAAUUGUAAGCAUGUUGUAGUAUGUUAAAAUGGAGGAAAAUCAUGAAAUAUGGAAUGUUAGAAGUGAAUUGUGUGUGAAGAUGUUUGGGGCCGUGUGAGUAUGUAUGGGUUGUGUAGUGUUGUGUUGUGUUGAAAUUAUGAAUUGAUGCCUAGUUAAAUAUAUUACGAUCAUUGUAGGGUGAAGGAUGAUUGAGAAUCAUCAAUAUGUGUAUGUUGGUGUGCUAACCGAAAUUAUGAAUAUGGUUAAAUGAUGAAAGGGAGUUAUUAUUGUUAUAUUGCCUUUCAAAUUGAUUAUUGAUGUUGCUAGGUUGUUGUUGUUGUUGUUGUUGUUAAUUAAUUGGGCUGAGUUGAAUUCUCGGGGUGGUCUAUUUUCAGGGGAAAUGCUGCCCAACUUUUUGUAGAAUUAAGGGCAAAGUUGGAAUUUAAUGCCCAUAAAGUCUUUAGCUAAUUGUUUGGCAUGUUAUGGCUUGUUUGUAGACCUUGGGCAGUCCGAAGCAUAAUUUGGAUUUAGCUUGCAUUUGGAUUAUUUUGGAGAGCGUUUGAGGUAUGUAAAGCAACUUUUCCUGUCGGCAUGUCUUAGUUAAAAUAGGCUAUGAUACAAGCCUCGAAGAAACUCUAUUCUCGCGAUCCGAGCUUGUUUAUGAUUUGCAUUUGUUCCUUGGUAUUCUUGUGUAAUAUGUCAUAAUAUUGAUUCUUAUGCCUUGGAUUUCAUAAGUUGCAAAGGAUAUGUGAAAGCUAAAUUGUUUUUAAAGAACUUAUUCUUUAACGGUUCUAAAACUAUAAACAUCUAUAACUUUUACCGAAAAGCUCAGAUUGCUUUGAAAUUUUUAUAGGAGUUUGUAUGAUCUAGGAUGAGUAUGUUCUUCAUAGGCUGGGCCAGUUUGGGUCUCCACCCGUCUAUGAGUCCUGCGAUGCCCUUUUUGUAAUUUUAGUAACUUUUGAAAGAAUAUGUAAUAAUUGUUCUUCCGAUUUCAAAUAUGGCUACUUUGCUUAUCUUUUGGAUUUAUGACAAUGAUUUUAUGCAUAUGAUUACUCACUACUCCGUUCGUGCCUAAGAUGAUAUCGUUCGCCGAUUCUCAGGCCGGUUGUUUGUCGUGCGCAUUAUGAUAUACUCCGGUGUUAUGCUGUUUGUACUGUUCACCGAGCUACUCGCUCGAGGGUCGAGUUCCACUUUUGUUUGGCAUUAUGCUGUGUUUGGUAUUAUGUCGUGUUAUGAUAUAUGACGGGGAUUCGAAGAUUUAAAACUUUCUGAUGUUAUGCUGUGUUAUGCCGCCAUUGACGGGCGGGCGACCAUAGUUCCUGUGCCCUAUGCAUGAUUUGUAUUUUGAAAGUAAACGUAUUAAUAUUUUUGGAUAUGCAUUUACCUUCCAUACUUUUAUUUCGAUUACUACUUAAACUUAUAUUCUAUACAUUCUGCUUUGCAUACUCGAUACGUAUUUUGUACUGACCCCCCUUCUUCGGGGGCUGCGUUUCAUGCCUGUAGGUGCAGACGUACAGUUUGGUGAUCCAUCAGCUUAGGACCCCCUUCUGCUGUUUGGAGUGCUCCUCCUGUUUUGGAUCCCACUUUUGGGUAUACCCUCGUUCGUUGCUUUAUAUCUAUUUAUUCGAGGGUACGGCGGGGCCCUGUCCCAUCCUAUGAUUCUGUCAGUUUGUUUAGAGGUUUGUGGACAUAUGUGCGUGGGUUGUUCCCAGUCCGUUUGACUAGACUUGCAUGAUGUGUAUGUUGGGCGGCUUUACCCGCCAGAGCGGCCUUGUCGGCCAGUAUAUGUAUAUAUGAUAUUUUGUUGGCUCUGUGUGGCCUUGUUGGUAUCUUCUGAUGUGCAGGGUUAUUUGGGAUAGUCCGUAAAACAAAGGAAACUCUGCCCAACUUUUUUUAAAAUAUAAGCCAUCUGUUUGUAACUCGGCUUUAUGAUUGUAUUUGUGUGCCCAAUCCGGGCACUAGUCACGGCCCACAGGGUUGGGUCGUGACAUUAACUAUAAUAGAACAAAUCUUUUCAGAAUUACUCUAUUGAUUAACAUGAGUAUGAGGAGAAGAGGAGAAGAGAAAAGGAGAGGAAGAAAAGAAAAUUAGGGCUUUUGAAAUUGGUCCCAUUUUACCGUUAUUAUCCAAUAUAUUUAGUACUUUUUAAAAUUAAAAAAAGUUAAUAAGUUAAUUCAAUGAUUAACACGCCCAAGAUAGACGUGUGCACACUCGCCUUGGGCUAGUGAUGGGAGGGUUGAUAUAAAACGUUUUAUAAUUAGUUAAGGGGGUACUUAAACCCCGUGUAGAUAAGGUACUAAACUAAGUGUGUGUAUGUGUAUAUAUAUAUACAUACACACACAUAUAUAUAUACUAGACAUCUAAGCCCGUGCGGAUCCAAUAUCUGUUAUUUUUAUUUUUAUUUAAACAUUUUUUAGCACCAAAAAUAAGAUAAAUAAGUUACAAUGGAAGAACCAUAAGAAAAUUACCAAUGUACCCUCAAGCUGCUCAAGCAGGCAGCAGGUUUACCGGAGUAGCGCUUGGGUGGCAAACUGGCAUGUCGACUGCCAGCUGCUUCCCAAGCGGCUUCAACCCUACUUCCUGCUUGAGCAGCUUUAAUUAUCAUGGUUAGUAGCAUUUUUACCACAAAAUAUAAGACAAGCAAAUUACAGUGGAAGAACCAUAAAAAAUUAUGAAUAUAGCCUCAAGCUGCUCAAGCUGCCCCGUCGACCAGUUGUCUGCUUGAGCAGCUUUAAUUAUCAUGAUUAGCAGUAUUUUUUAACACAAAAAAUAAGACCAACAAGUUAUAACAGAAUAACCAUGAAAAAUUACGGAUGCACCUUUAGGAUGCUCAAGCUAACAUGUCGUCAUCAUGAUUAGCAAUAUUUUUAGCACUAAUAAUAAGACAAAUAAGUUACGACGGAAGAAGCAUAAAAAAUUAUGGAUAUACGCUCAAUUGCUCAAGUAGGUAUGUCAACCUGUUGCCUGAUUGGCAGCUUCAAUCGAAAUUACCGGAAUAACCUUGGGCGGCAAGCUGGCAUGUCGACCACCAAUUGCUUCCCAUGGCACUUCUAUAUCUACUAAUCACGACCCUCGUGCUCGUACGGGCCCAAUAUUUGUUUAUCUCAAUUUUUGUGAUGUGAAUAGAUUUUUUGUAUACAUUUUAAAAAAUUUAAGUUAUUAAUUAUUGGACUUAGAAGCAACUGAAGAAAUAUAAUCAAACUACUUUGGAAAUAUUAAAUUAAGUAACUCACAAAAAUAAGUUAUCAGAGCUAAUAUUGUAAAAUCAGAAUUAAAGCAGCUGAAAAAAUAUAAUCAAGCUGCUUUGAAAAUAUUUCAAUUAAGAAACUCACAAAAAUAAUUUAUCAAUGCUAGUAUUGUAAACUCAUAAUUGAAGCAGUUAAAGUAAUAUAACCAAACUGUUAUGAAAAAAUUAAAUUAAGAAACUCACAAAAAUAAUUUAUUAGGGCUAAUAUUGUAAAAUCAUAAUUGAAGCAGCUGAAGAAAUAUAAUCAAGUUGCCUUGAAAAUAUUAAAUUAAUGAACCCGAAAAUUAUUUUUGUGGGUCCCAUAUAAUAGCGGCGAAGAAGCAGACAGCUCAAGCAGACAUGUUGACGGAGAGUUGCCUGCUUAUUCACAUUUCUUAGUAUUGUAAUAGAAUAUUCUAUAUACAUAUAUAAGUGCCAUGGGAAGCAACUGGAGGUCGACAUGCCAGCUUGCCGCCUAAGACUAUUCCGGUAAUUUUGAUUGCAGGUGCUCAAGCAGGAAGCAGAUCGACAUGCCUGCUUGAACAACUUAAACGUACAUUUGUAAUUUUUUAUAAUUCUUCCGUUGUAACUUAUUUAUCUUAUUAUUAGUGCUAAAAAAAGUUGCUAAUCAUGAUGACGACAUGCUAGCUGAGUAGCUUGAGGGUGCAUUCGUAAUUUUUUAUGGUUCUUCCAUUCUGACUUGUUGUCUUAUUUUUUGUGUUAAAAAGUAAUGCUAAUUAUGAUAAUUAAAGUUGUUCAAGCAGACAGCUGGUCGACGAGGCUGCUUGAGCAGCUUGAGGGUAUAUUCUUAAAUUUUUAUGGUUCUUCCAUUGUAAUUUGUUUGUCUUAUCUUUUGUGUUAAAAAUGCUACUAACCGUGAUAAUUAAAGCUACUCAAGCAGGAAACAAGACUGAAGUCGCUUGGGAAGCAGUUGGCAGUCGACAUGCUAGCUUGCCGCCCAAGGGCUACUCCGAUAAUUUUGGUUGUAGCUGCUCAAGCAGGUAGUAGGUUGACAUGCCUGCUUGAGCAGCUUGAGGGUACAUUCGUAAUUUUUUAUGGUUCUUUCGUUGUAACUUGUUUGUCUUUUUUUUGUGCUAACAAUGUUUAAAUUAAAAUAAAAAAAUAACAGAGCUCGCGCGGGCUCGGAUGUCUAGUAUGUGUGUGUGUAUUUCUAUUAUAUAGAAAAGUCAAUCCAUAGACAACCAAUGGCAUAUUUGUAAUUAUACUUAUAAUUCAAGGGUAAAUAAUUAAUAACAAUUUAAAAUAUCUAUUGAUUUUCUCACUCCAAAUUUCAAUUCUAAAAAAUAAACAAAUAAAACGAAUACACACAAUUUAAUUCUAGAAAUAUCAUUACAAAUAUAUAAUUAUGCUUAUCAUACAAAGAGAAAUAAUAAAUAUCCAUAUCAAAUAUCUACUGAUUUGUUCAAUUCAAAUUUUUAUUCUAAAAAAAAGAAAAAAAAUAAAAAUUAGACACUUACACACAACUCAAUUCUAGAAAUAUCAAUUGUACUCUUUUAUUCUCUAUAAUUUUAUGUUCAUCAUUCAAGGGCAAAUGAUUAAUAACCAUUUAAAAUAUCUAUUGUUUUUCUGACUCCAAAUUUCUAUUCUAAAACUUUUUUUAAAAAGAAGACACUUACACACAACUUAGUUCUAGAAACAUCAAUACAAAUUUAUAAUUAUGCUUAUUAUACAAGGAUAAAUGAUAAAUAUUCAUAUCAAAUAUCUACUUAUUUGCUCAAUUCAAAUUUCUAUUCGAAAAAAUUUAAAAAAUAAAAACUAGACACUUACACACAAUUCAAUUCUAGAAAUAUCAGUUGCAUUCUUUUAUUAUCUAUAAUAAAUAUCUCAUUCUUAUUAUUUCAGCUAAAAACCCAUGCACCUACUUCUAUUUUCUUGGUUUUUCAUUUACAAUAUUUCUUUGUUUCAGCUAAUUAAAAACUCAUAUAUCUACUUCAUUUUCUUUUAAUAGUAAUAAACUAUUAACUAUGCAUAAUAGCGAGUUAGUUUAUCAAGAAGUUUUAUAAUUGAAUUAGAAUCUGCUCACCUAUGGAACUUAAUCACAUAUAAGGCUUAAUCUUUAUAUUUUUUUAAAUCACAUAAAAGGCUUAAUCUUUAUAUUUUCUUUUAGAUUUCUGGAUUAUAGAGAAAGUAAAACAAUUAUAGCGCAAUCUUUGAGCAUUUAUUGAGUUUUCAAUGGUUGAAAUUUUUUUAAGGUGUUAGGCGUUUAUACCUCACUUUCUACAAUUAAAUUGUCAUUUUUGAUUGGUAAUUUGAAUAAACAUUUGGAAUUCUUAUUGAUUUUGCAUAUCGUAUUUUUUAGUAGUAUGUUUUUCAAUUAGUAAAAGCAUUGUUAGUCCUCCUCCUCCUCCAUUGUUACGUUGAAAAAAAUAAUAUUGUGUUGUAGCUUACUAUACUUUUAGAAUAGUUUGGUAUCCAUUUUGAUACUUCAAUUAAUUAUUAUUUACUUCCCUUUUGCAGAUAUUCAUCCUAAAUUUCUUUAUAUGAUAGUUUCUGGAAGGAUAAAAAAAUUAUCUGCUAAACUGAUGAUUACAACUCUUACUUAUAAAAAAUGAUGAAUUCAAAUGUGCUUAUGCACAUAUUGCAGAUCAAAGAAUCCUAUAAUAUAUGAAUAACGAUGUACGUAAGUGUUGCAUGCUAUUUCACAUGUCAUAUAUAGAGAUGACAUGUUCUGUUGAGUUAGUAUGGAGACUUUUGACUGAGUUUAGUCUAAUUAUUAUGUUCUGUUGUGUUAGCAUGAAGGUCUUUGACUGAGCUUAGUCUAAUUAUUUUAGUUGUAUUUAUAAAAAAAAAUGCAUAAAAAAUCAACAUGUUGGGUCGUGCUGAGCAUGAGCAUUCUUAUCUAAUAUAUAUGUGUGUAUAUAUAUAUUCUCUUAUAUAUUACUCCUUAUAUACAAAGGAGACUUGAACUCCCUAGAGAACUAGAGUUAGGGUUAUUUUGGUUUUCUACUUGUGUGCUGCAUAAACUUAAUUAUACAAUCAGGUUUUUAAAUGAUACUUUACUUCAAAUUUUCAAAAAAAACCAAUUAUCUUUAGGAAAUACCAAAUCUAUCCUUAAUCUUAAGCUGCUGCAAUAGUAAUUUAGGAAUUCAACCUUAAAUUAUUGCUUUACAUAUUUGUACCUCCUGCAUUGAGAAUAAAUUAGAUUGAAAUAAUUAUAAAAAUAACUUUCUGAACAGGAUAUAUUUCAAAAUUAUCCAUGAUUUAUCCUUGACUUUGCUCUCUUUUUACAUGACUGUCUGCAGCCUGUUGGGGCCCACUCAAACUUUAUAGUCCACCUAUAUUACAUAGUUGAAGAAGAUGUUCAUUUGUAUUUUUUUAGUUUACUAUUUUAUUUAUUUAUUAUACAAAUCAAGACAAAUUUAUUAUAUUUAUUUAAUACUAUUUUUUUAUCGUAAAAUAAUUUUAUAAAGUAAUAAUUGCUACAUUUAAAUUUCCAAAAUAUAAUUAAUAAAAUUAAUUUAAUAAAAUAAAUUCUUAAUAAAUUUGAUUAGUCAUAAUUUUUAUAAGUGUUAUCGCAUUGCACGAGGUACUAUAAAAAUAAUUAUAUUGUUAACAGAUAUAAAUUUAAAAAAGAAUUUUAAAUAAUGCUAACGAAAUUUAUACGAUAAUAACACAAAUUAUUUUUUAAACUAUAACUUUAAAUUAAAGUUCAGAGCAACAAAAUUUAUGAAAAAAAUUUAUAUAUAAAAACUCACUUUUAUGGACUGUAAAGGCAAUCAAAUAGCCUGAUUAUACCACUGUCAACCUAUCCUUUGUUAAGUACAUAAGUAAUACUUCAUACUACAGCAAACGAAGAAGAGAAACAACUCAUGAUCAACAAGAAAAGUACACAGCAACAUCAACAACACAUGCUGUCCAGAAAUUUCAGCAUCAACACAACCAACAUACUCUCUUGUUUGUAAUGAGAAGAUUAUACUAAAUAUAUACUUAAGAUUUCUUAUCUUAUCCUUCAAGAUUAAGAUGAUUUAGUUAAAUAUAGAUUGCGCUAUGAACCUCAAAAGAACCUAUUCUCGCACUACGGGCAAAUGUGUGAUUUAUAUUAGUUCUUUGGCAACCUUAUGAUACUUUAAGAACAACGUUGAAUGAUUAUUUCUUAUCGUUUAUAGCAAUAAAUAGUAAUAUUAUGAUAAAUUGACACUUGUAUUAAAAGUAAAUUAUACAUGCAAUACAAAUAUUUUUUUAAGUGCCUAAGAGUAUAUUGUGCUUAUUUGAUAAAAACAUUGACACAAUAUAUGUAAAAGAACUCCUUUAUUUAAAUUAACAUAAAUUUUAUUAAUAACAAUGAACUUCAUAUAUACUAUAAGAUAGCACGGACACACCACCACUAGUAUAUUUUAUACAAGAGACACUUUGUUCUGAAGCAAGCAGCUCUCCAUCGACAUGUCUGCUUUCUCUUUUUUAUUAUAUGAGAUUCAUAAAAAUAUUUCAGGCACUUCUUAAUUGAAUCCUUUUAAAAUAGUUGUUUAGUGAUUUUACAAUAUUACCCCUAACAACUAAUUUUCAUAAUUGAAGGCAACUAAUUUUCACAAUUGAAGGGCCCAUAAAAAUAUUUCAAAGAUUUUUUAAUUGAAUCUGUUUAAAGCAGUUGCUUAGUAAUUUUACGAUAUUGCUCCUCAUAAAUAGUUUUCUAGUUAUUUUAACUGUUCAGCUAUUUUAAAUUAAUGAGAUCCAUAAAAAUAUUUUGGGGUUUUUUUUAAUUUAAUCUUUUUUAAAAUAACUAUUUAGUGAUUUUACAAUAUUACACCUAACAACUAACUUUCACAAUUGAAGGACCCAUAAAAAUAUUUCAAAGAUUUUAAAGCAGCUGCUUAGUGAUUUUACGAUAUUGCCAAUGAAAUUAGGAUAAAAGUUAUAAUUUAUUUUAGAGUAAAAAUUUAAAAUCACUUAAUCAUUAAACUAAAAAUUAAUCAAUAUUAAUAAUAUUUAUUGGAUAUUUAUUUUACAUCUAAUAAAAUAAUUAAAUAACAUUUAAUUAUAUCAUUAAAAAUAACUUUAUGAAUAACUAUUGAGAUUUUGUAACUAGUAUAUAUAUAAGGCAUAAGGCAGCUGCUUCCGGUCGUAGCUGCCUGCUUGAGCAGCUUUCGAUUGUCCUGCCUGCUUCUUCUCCUUUAUUAUGUGGGGUUAAUAAAAAAUAUUUUGCGGGUUCUUUAAUUUAAUCUUUUCAAGUCAGCUGCUUAUUAAUGUGUCUGCUUGAUAAUAUUUCUUUAGCUACUUCAGUUAUAAUUUUACUUUGAAAUAUAUAUAAAAAAUCUGUCGAUGUCACAUAAAUGAAGACUAAAAAAGAUUUAUAUUGACUGCUUGCUUGAGCAGCUUUCAGUGGGCCAAUAAAACAUAAUUUAUGGCCUUUUAAAUUUAAUCUUUUCAAAAUUAGCUGCGUAUUGACGUAUCUACUUGAACAUCUUCAUAAUAUUUCUUUAAAUAUAAUUUUAUCAUUAGAAAAAUUUAUCAACAUCAAAUAAAUCGAUACAUGAGCUUUCACCACUGGUAUAUAGAUAUGCGUGUGUGUUAGAGAGAGAGAGCGCGUUGAGACAGAAAGUGGGAAGAAGCAGACGCACAUCAGCUGUGUGUGUCCGGACGCUCAGUAGACACUUCUUCCGAAACGCUCUCGAUCGAGCUGUUUUUCUGGUUUGUCUCUGAUUCUUUCUGUUAAAUAAGCUACUCUGCAUCUUUCUUAUGUUAUCCCCUUCAUCCCUAGGGUUCCAGGUUAUUGGUUUUGAUUGAUCAAAUGAGUAAACUGGUAAAAGCUUUUGUGUUUUAUAUCAUAAAUUUUAAAAUUUGUUCUGUUACUUGCUAUAUAUAGGAGUUUCAGGCAUAUAUAUGUGCUGAAGAGCAAGUUCUACUGUUUAGGGUCUGAGAAUUUGACUCCUAUUUAGGCAUAUGGUAAUUCAUGUUCUUUUAGCAUAAAGAACUUCCUAGGGCAAGAUUGUUUUUGCUGUUAAGAGAAUGCAGGACGCUUUAGUUGGUUGAGUUUUCAGUCAGACCAAGUGAACAUUAAGAUCUUUGUAAGAUUUCACUGUUCCAUUUAUGGUCAGAGAGAUGUAUUCAUCUUGUUAUCCUCUUUGGUUAUUGCUCAACAUAAACAACAUCACUUAUCCUCAAUCGCAAACUAAUUUGGGUUGGCCAUAUGAAUUCUCUAUAUCCAUUCUUCUCCAUUUGAUUGCUUGUGUGCUUGAUGAGAAAGGUUUCUAUUGCCUGAGCUCAAAGUUUUUCAGUGGGUUCAUUUGGUUUUUAUUGGAUUGGUUAAUUAGAAUAUUCCUUGAUGAGUUCAUGGACAGUUUGCAAACGAAUCAAGGCUACUAUGAAUUUUAGCAUAUAUGACUUAAAGUUGAUGGCUUUUAUGGACAGUUUUCCCACCUCGUUCCCCUCUAUCAUUCAUAAUUUCUUUUCUUUUCACCUGCACUCUCCUAAACACCACUUUGUUCCACUCAUUUACUCCCUUUUUAAGAAUCUUCAACUUUUUGCUAGCCUGAAUGACAGUUCUUCCACCACAUGGUUGUUGUUCCAACAUCCAACCAUUUUUUCAUUGAAGUCCGUCUCUCCUAACCGCAUGUUCUCAAAUCUAAAGGGAGUUCUAAUAUUUCUGUCUCCUAUACAAUCUAACAAAAUGGGUAAAUGAUCCAACCUCAACCUCAGAAGGAUACUUCAUAUAAUUUUUGAAGUCAGCUCCUCUCAUGCGGCGGACACCAAGACUAUCGAGUCUCAAUCUAAAAGAUGAAUUUGUCCGACCAAACUCAAGUGAAAGUGGCACCUGUCAGUGGAAGACCAACAAGAAAAAAGUUAUCAAUAAACUUCAAGAACUCCUAACUCUCAGGGGUUGGCCUGGUGGUAAUAAACUUGAGCCUUGGGGUUUGCUCCCUUUCAAGGUCUCAAGAUCGAGACCCACUGGGUGUAAAUAAUUUCUGAGGUCCAUCGGACUGGGUAAAACCUAAAUUAACCGUGGUGCACUUGCGGGAAACUCCUUGCCGGGGGCUUGUGCACCCCCAGGAUUAGUCGAGGCUCUAAAAGACUCGGACACCCGGUGCAAAUAAAUAAAAAAACUUCAAGAACUCCUUUAUUGGCCUAGGAACCAUCCUACGCCCCACCCUCUCUUGUGGGAAUUUUGUGGUGUUAAAAUCCCCAUCUUGUAACCAUGAAAUAUUCCACUUCCCAAAAACUGUCGCCAUUUCUUCCCAGAAAUCCACCUUAGACCCCUCCCAAACAGGACCAUUAACUCCACCAAAUCCCACUUCCGUCCUAUUCCCAAUACCAUAUACUCUCUUUUCUUCACCUCCAUAUAUAAAUCUUCCUUUUGCCCCAAUAAAAACAACAACAACAACAUACCUAGUGAAAUCCCACAAGUGAGGUUUGGGGAGGGUAAAAUUCAUGCAGACCUUACCACUACCUCAUAGAGAUAGAAAGACUGUUUCCGAGAGACCCUUAUCUCAAAAAAAUAUCAUCCCCAAAAGCAGACAAUACUAGAUAUGAAAUAACUAAAGUGUACAACAAAUGAAAAUUUAUAAAGACAAUAGAGGUAACAAAAUAAAUGACAGACAAUAACUUCCAGUAUAUAACGACACAACUACCUCUACUAACCUACUAUAUCACAUGGCCCAACAUCAUCCUACCCCUACUAGUCUUCUAACCUUCUACCUUAAUACGCGACUUCCACUCCUUUCUAUCUAACGUCAUGUCUGAUACGAAACUGCGCCGUAUCCUAUCUAAUCACCUCUUCCAAAUACUUUUUCGAUCUAUUUCUACCCCUUUGCGUAACCCCUAAAUCCAUCCUCUCGCACCUCCUGACAGGAACAUCAACACUUCUUCUGUGCAUAUGUCCAAACCAUCGCAGUUGUGCUUCUCUCAUUUUGUUUGUCAUAGAGGCCACUCCUAACUUCCCCCAAAUGGUCUUAUUCCUAAUCUUAUCCUCCCUGGUGUGUCCACACAUCCAUCUCAAUAUCCUCAUCUCCGCGGCCUGCAUCUUUUGAACAUCUGAGUUUUUGAUUGGCCAGCACUCCACCAUAUAGCAGACACAGUCUAACCACCAUUCUGUAAAACUUGCCUUUAAGUUUAGGUGGCAUCUUCUUAUCACACAAUACUUCGGAAGCAAGCCUCCAUUUCAUCCAUGUUGCCCCAAUACGAUGUGUGACAUCAUCAUUGAUAUCGCCACUACUCCAGAUGAUGGACCCAAGAUACUUAAAGUUUCCUCUUUUGGGAAGCGUCACUUCAAUGUCUGCUUCAUCACUCGUACUACUAAAGUUGCAUUCCAAGUAUUCUGCUUUCGUCCUGCAUUUCCUUGAGCCUAUAAGUGGUCACAUUUUCACCUACUUUCCCCUCACACACUUCUUACAAUAUUAUCUGAAAAUUGUCUCCAUUUUUGUCUCUUGAAAAUAAAGUCCGAUUGUUCACUCUAAUCCCUAUCUUGAUGAUGACCCUUUAGUUUGUGUCAUUUGUCCCCGCGUUCGAACUAAUGAUUUUAUUAUCCAUCAAAUAACUUCUUUGCAGGGCAACCCCUCCUUUUCCAUUCCCAUUUCCCUUUGUGUGUGUCUCAUCCCAAAAUACUCCCUAGACGUGACUGGAACCUGCUUACACCACCCCUCGGGCGAACCAAAUAUUCAUACAUUUAGUUAAAUUAUCUAAGAACAAGGAUAAAAUAUGAACAAAUCCAAAACUUAUCAAUACUCGUUAAAAUGAAAUAAUUGUCCAGCCAAAAUUAUAUACCAAUUUAUGAAGAGAAAUGUCACUUGACAAAAUAUCUCUAGCCCAUAUACCAUAAUAUGACCAUGGAGCAUUUAAUAGUGUUACAUGAGUUCAACUGUCAAGCAUGCAAACCCUAAGAAAAGAAGACAUAAGUUAUAAAUGGAUAGGUUUGAACUAGUAGCGUCCACGAAUGAUGCGAAGGCUUACCUUAGUAACAGAAUCCAUUUGAACGAAUUUGUCAGCCACUAACUAGUCUCACCCUUUGCAACAGUAUCUGCAUAGACAUGCAAGUAAGGAAUGGGCUAUAUAUAUGUGUAUAUAAAACUAUAUAUAUAACUCAGUAAGAUCCUCAACUCGCUAUUUUAAUACCCCUGGAACAAGUGUUAGAAAAUACAACUAUAAAGCUAAUACGUAAUUGAUGUGGUAUAAGAAUAUAUUUUAUAAUACAAUGCUCAGCAAGUCCAAACAAAUGUUCCAUGUACCAACACAAUCCAUACUUGAAGCUUGUCAUAAACUGUAGUGUAGGAGAUCAACCUAGCACCCUGGCAAGUCCACGACAACAUGUACAAUACUUUCAAAGUACACUACGAUAGCAUGUGCAAAACUCAUAACAUAUUACGGCAGCAUGAGUAUGCCCCUAACAUAUUACGAUAGCUAUAUGUGCCCCUAGUGACUACAUCACGAUAAUGAAGAAAGAUAUUCAAUAUCACACCACAUAUAACUUAUAAAAAAUUCAAUAUUCUUCAAAAAAUAAUAUAUCUACGAUUGAUCAAAGAAGAACAAUUUUGCCAAGCACACGUUUGUCACGAUACAUGAAUCAGGCAGAAAAAAAUUAUUUUCCAAAGUAUGUUCGAAAGUAAGCACUAAAGCUUAAAGUCCCACUUACCUCGCUAGUGACAAGUUCCACAACCUUGCACGUGUAGAACACCCACCGAAACAGCUCCCACUUGCGUCAAUCUAUGCAAAAUAUUGAUUAACGAUAUCAAUUAUGCUAGUUGGGUCAAGUCUCAAUAUCCCAAACUUAUAAGCUUAGAGCUAAACAUUAAUAUCUCACACCUUAAACCAUGAAUUAACAAUAGCAAUUACCUCCACAGCACAAAGAGUGAAUAGACUGCCCAAUAAAUUCACAAUGCAUUCCCAAAGAGACUAAUAGUACAUAGAAUAAUGAAUUAACAAUGCGAGAGGUUGGAUUUAGGGGUUACGCGGAGGGGUAGAGGUAGACCCAAAAAGUAUUGGGAGAGGUGAUUAGACAUCACCGAUGACAUGACCUUAGAUAGAAAGAAGUGAAGGUCGCAUAUUAGGAUAGAAGGUUAAUAGGUUAGUAGGGGUAGAAUGAUGUCUGGCCUUGUGAUAUAGUAGGUUAGUAGGAUAAGCCGUGUCUUUAUAUAUUGUGUUGUUAUUGUCUGUCUUUUAUUUUGUUACUUUUAUUGUAUUUAUACAUUAUCAUUUGCUUUCCACUUUAGUCGUUUUUCUCCAUAUCCAGUAUUUUCUGCUUUUGGGGCUGAUAUGUUUGAGAUGAGGGUCUUUCGGAAACAACCUCUUGUGGUAAGGUCUGCGUAUAUUUUACCCUCCCCAGACCCUACUUGUGGAAUUUCACUUGGUAUGUUGUUGCAUUCCCAAACUCCACAUCAUUGACCCAGUUAGUGGUGGCAAAUGGGCGGGUUCUGUCAAAUUUGGGCGGGUUGAAAAUGGGUCAAUAUAAAAUGGGUAAUAAUUCAAACCCGCCCAUAUAUUAAAUGGGUAAAAAUGGGUUGGGUAAGAAAUGGACUGGGUAAAAUACUAGUUUACCCAUAUUUUAAUGAGCAAAUAGUACUUUACUUUAAAAUUCAAUAUGGAUAAAUAAUUUACUUUAUCUUUGGAUGAAAAACAUUAAAAAUAUUUUAUUUAAUUGUAUUGUAUCAUAAAUUUAAAUUCGACACCUAAUGUGAGAUUUGACUUUUAAAUUGGGAUUCGAUUUCGAUUCCAAAUUAAUCAUACGACCCAACUUCUAACGAGAUCCGACAUACAACUUUCGACUCGAAAUUCAAUUCCAACACUAGAACUGAGAGGGGGUCAAGUGUUGGAUUGGGAUAAAAAAAAUAAUUUUUUUAAAAUUUGAUUUUUUAAAAAAUUCAACUUUCAAUUUUUCUCAUAUUGAUUUCAUACUUAUAACCUUAAUUUGUAGUGGCCCAUUCUGUUGGGUUUUCUAACCGUAGCAAGUUUUUCAACCGGAUUUACAAUUUUUAUGAUAAAAUUUGAAAUUUUUAUAAAGAAAAAAGAUUUUAUAAAAAAAAUGAUUUUCUUUGGGGAAGGGUGGGGGGUUGAAGACUUGUGGAGGGAUCAUGGUAUUGGGUGGAGUACGAAAAGAAUUGUAAUUUGCAAUUGGAGGAGAAUUUUGACAAAUCUUUUCCUACUUUUUAGAGGUAAAUUAUUUUUCUUAAAUUUGAAGAAAAUAAGUUUAUUUAAAUUUAUAUUUUCAAAAUAUUUAAGUCAACAAAGCAUAAAAAAAUUAGAAAACAUAAUGAAUUUUGAGUGAGAAGAAGUUAGAAGCUUAACCCAUUUGAUUAAAUCAUAGUUUACCCAUGUUUUACCCAUGAAUGCCCAUAUUUCUAUGGGUUGAAUAUGGAUUUAAACCCAUAUUUUACCCAUGUAAAAAAGUCACUACCCAAACUACUAAAAUAUGGGCGGGUUACCAAAAUAUGGGUUCAUUUUGCCGGCACUAGACCCAGUGCAUAGGAUAAUUUUAGAUUAAACAGGAAUUUUGCAGCAACUCAUAUGGCUGCACCAGUUCAUAGCCAACAAUGGCUUAAGCUCAAAGACUCAUAAUUGACUAAUGAUUACCCCAUUCAUAAUGAUUAUCACACCAUUAACUUAAUCAUAUGACCCCGUCUUCAUGAUUUUCUAAUCAUUAAAUAAAAUCUGCAAUAGUAUAAAAUGUAUGUUUUCUCUUUCUCGUAGCAAUACCAAAAGUCACUUUAGAAGUGAUUUCUACACUAGUGAAACCAUUGCAAACUUAAAGGAACAUAAUUCUUCAUUCUGGUACCUCUAAUCAUUAGCCGAUAUUAGUACCUUUUUUACACAAGCACACAGCAACUUACGUUGAUACAAUAUGCCUACAGGGACAAAGUAACCCAUAAUACUUAAGUUUUUUGUCGUGCUAGCGUGCUAUAGUGGGUACGCUAAACUUUUUUUUCCCUCUUGCGAAGUUACAUGCUUUCUCCAAAAGUAUAGGAAUGAAAUUUCCCUAAUUUGCAACUGUUUCAUUCACUAAAACAUGAUGCAGCAGAUUGAGAUAAUGGAGUGGACCCACUCUUCUUUAUUCCUCUUUAUUAAUCUGAAUUUAGUUAAAUUACCAAUUAACCCUUCAUUAAAAAGGGGGUUAUUAUAGCGUGUCCUCCUCAGAUUGCCUUUCCCCACCCAUAACAUCAACAUUUUCAACCGUAACUUCUCCACUUGACAUAUAAUCUCUUUAUAUCUAAAAUAAAGCAUAUUAGAAUGCAUAUAAACUCAUAUCAUAGGUGUGUUUUAGAUCAUACACACAAUACAUAUAUACUAGCAAUUUUUGUGACUCGUAUAUACUCGUUUCCUUCUAUACAUAGUCAUCCCCUUACUUAUAGUAGACAUUUGGCUUUUCUUAAACAUGCUUUUCUAGAGGUCAAAGUCUCAAUAUGCCUGGUAUCCAUAAAAGCUACCGAUCUGAAGUAGCUUUUUCCUGCACUGAGGAUGUCUAGAAUUCUCAGUCUGUCCAAAUUAAUGAAUGUUGGGGUUAAUUAUGUCCAUUGGACCCAUCUUAGAAAUCUAUGCUUUGGCCAGGUCAAAUAUGGGUCAAUGGGGUCAAAACCCGGAACAAAUUAUAUGAGCAUAUUACCCAUAAGCUAGGGAGUUUAAAUCUAUAGUCAAAAUCCAAUCUUGACUUACUUUACUUGGUCUAAUUUCAGUGUAGGUGUUUUGAUAAGUUAAUGUUAAAUCCGAACUUGAAACACUUGAAAAUACAUGCUUUGAUUUUGAAAAUUCAAAGGGAACAUGUAUAUAAUCAAAACUACUCUAAUAAACCUUUACCUCAAAGACUAGGUGGUAACUUUUCAGAAAGAGUGAAAUCCUGUAGCUUAGAACUGCCAAAACAUGGGCAUUACCGCUUUCACCACAUGCCUUGAACAAUUCCAUUGAACAAAAGUGGGCUGCGUAGGACCUAGGCAUUGGCUUAUGCAAUCAUGGAGGAUAUGACAUAAUCGUGCUGCAGUGAUUGGCCACUUAGCCUAUCGGGCUCUUAAUACAUGAUUGCGCAUCACUAAGGGAUAGCAUUCUUCACAAUGUGCAGGGUGACUGCGAUCAUGGUGCACAAAUUGACAAGAAGAAACUGAUUUACAGUUUUUGUCAAAUGGUCCGAAACCUCAAACAAGCUCCUUGGGUCUCAAACUGAACCACCCCAACAAGUCCCAAAUGGUAAAAAACAACUUGUAGAAAGUCUCCAAACAUCAGUUUGGGACUAAAUACUCAAAAUGAGGGGUUUGACAGUAACACAAGUGAAGCAAAUGAUCCUUAUAAUGAUACCAAUUAAUUUGAGACUAAGACUUAAAUGUUGUGGUUCCACUUACAUUGAGAUUUGGUCGGGAUAAGUACGAGGUUUUAGGAACCUGCAGCUCUAAAACCCUUAUUUUUUGUUAAUAGUGAAGUUACUACAACUAUUAGAAUGGAAUUGGCUUGAACUGGGAAGAAUAUGUAAAGGAAGAGACAGUUUUUUCCAGCUACAACUUAUUGAAGAUGUAACUAGUUUGGGAUCGAAGCUUAGUUGAUUGAUUGAUUUGACAGUUUUUUCCAGUUUCUCUGCCAAAUAGUAAAAGACAACAUGGGUUGCAAUCAAAGAGGACUGUUUUCUUUUCUAUUUUUAUUUCAAUAAUACCUUUUUAACAAACCAAAAAAUGGAAGAGACAAUUUCUUCGUUUUUCCUUCCCUCUUCUAGUUUACAAUGAAACUGGGUUAUGUAUGCCUUGAGAUGGAUCGGUUUAAUGGAUAAUUAUUGGAUACUAUUAUUUUCUUCUGCAAUAUAACUGGCACAUAUAGUUUUUCUGUCUUUUUACUGCAGAUUUUUCUUCUUAUUUUCACAUUUGUUUGUCAUUUGAUUGUUAUAUGUGUGUCAGGGGUCGAAAUAAACCUGGAAAAGAUGAUUAGCAACGGUGCUGACGAUGUGCAGAUUUGUGGAAGUGGCGAGGCUGAUUGUCCUCAGACCACAGUUGAGAUAAAGAUAAAGAUGUUGGACUCACAGACAUAUACAUUGCGAGUGGAUAAAUGUGUAAAUAUCUUUUGCUUUUAUUUUCAGUUAUUUAAGAAAAAGAGCUAUGCUACCUAUCAAACAGGCGGAACAAUAAAAACAUCAAGGCCGAUUGUUCUAUUUGUAAUUUGUUUAUAUACUUCUUCAAAAAGUAGAAUUUCAAGUACUAAUCUCCCCAAAAAAAAGGGAGAGAGAGAGAGAGAGAGAGAGAGAGAGAGAGAGAGAGAGAGAGANNNNNNNNNNNNNNNNNNNNNNNNNNNNNNNNNNNNNNNNNNNNNNNNNNNNNNNNNNNNNNNNNNNNNNNNNNNNNNNNNNNNNNNNNNNNNNNNNNNNNNNNNNNNNNNNNNNNNNNNNNNNNNNNNNNNNNNNNNNNNNNNNNNNNNNNNNNNNNNNNNNNNNNNNNNNNNNNNNNNNNNNNNNNNNNNNNNNNNNNNNNNNNNNNNNNNNNNNNNNNNNNNNNNNNNNNNNNNNNNNNNNNNNNNNNNNNNNNNNNNNNNNNNNNNNNNNNNNNNNNNNNNNNNNNNNNNNNNNNNNNNNNNNNNNNNNNNNNNNNNNNNNNNNNNNNNNNNNNNNNNNNNNNNNNNNNNNNNNNNNNNNNNNNNNNNNNNNNNNNNNNNNNNNNNNNNNNNNNNNNNNNNNNNNNNNNNNNNNNNNNNNNNNNNNNNNNNNNNNNNNNNNNNNNNNNNNNNNNNNNNNNNNNNNNNNNNNNNNNNNNNNNNNNNNNNNNNNNNNNNNNNNNNNNNNNNNNNNNNNNNNNNNNNNNNNNNNNNNNNNNNNNNNNNNNNNNNNNNNNNNNNNNNNNNNNNNNNNNNNNNNNNNNNNNNNNNNNNNNNNNNNNNNNNNNNNNNNNNNNNNNNNNNNNNNNNNNNNNNNNNNNNNNNNNNNNNNNNNNNNNNNNNNNNNNNNNNNNNNNNNNNNNNNNNNNNNNNNNNNNNNNNNNNNNNNNNNNNNNNNNNNNNNNNNNNNNNNNNNNNNNNNNNNNNNNNNNNNNNNNNNNNNNNNNNNNNNNNNNNNNNNNNNNNNNNNNNNNNNNNNNNNNNNNNNNNNNNNNNNNNNNNNNNNNNNNNNNNNNNNNNNNNNNNNNNNNNNNNNNNNNNNNNNNNNNNNNNNNNNNNNNNNNNNNNNNNNNNNNNNNNNNNNNNNNNNNNNNNNNNNNNNNNNNNNNNNNNNNNNNNNNNNNNNNNNNNNNNNNNNNNNNNNNNNNNNNNNNNNNNNNNNNNNNNNNNNNNNNNNNNNNNNNNNNNNNNNNNNNNNNNNNNNNNNNNNNNNNNNNNNNNNNNNNNNNNNNNNNNNNNNNNNNNNNNNNNNNNNNNNNNNNNNNNNNNNNNNNNNNNNNNNNNNNNNNNNNNNNNNNNNNNNNNNNNNNNNNNNNNNNNNNNNNNNNNNNNNNNNNNNNNNNNNNNNNNNNNNNNNNNNNNNNNNNNNNNNNNNNNNNNNNNNNNNNNNNNNNNNNNNNNNNNNNNNNNNNNNNNNNNNNNNNNNNNNNNNNNNNNNNNNNNNNNNNNNNNNNNNNNNNNNNNNNNNNNNNNNNNNNNNNNNNNNNNGAGAGAGAGAGAGAGAGAGAGAGAGAGAGAGAGAGAGAGAGACUAGAAUUUCAAGUAAUCAUGGCUCCAACCAGUUUUCUGUAUCUGUAAGUUGCAAAUGUGCAUCCUUGUUGGAUAUGGGAGCACAAUUACAAAGACCAAUCAUGCUCUUUAACUGACAAUUUAAAGGUUGACUGUAGUAUCAAAAGAAUUUAAAGGUUGACUGUAGUAUCAUCUGUUUUGACUUUUAUAAUAUUCUAAAAUUCUUUCUAAUACCUGUUGUCAAUUCCAAUACAGGUACCAGUUCCUGCAUUGAAGGAACAAAUUGCCACAGUUACAGGUGUCUUGACAGAACAACAACGGCUCAUAUGCCGUGGAAAAGUGUUGAAGGAUGACCAGCUGCUUUCCGCUUAUCGUAUCCUUUUCACUCUCAUGAUGUUUGAGGAACAUAGCAUGCAACCUAAUAUACGAUUUAAGAAAUUGAUUUCCUUCACUGAUUUGGUAAUAGAUGUGGAAGACGGUCACACUUUGCAUCUGGUUGUGAGGCAACCUUCAUCAGAGAGUACCCCUGAUCCCCAAGGUUUGUUAUGAUUUGAACAAACUAUUGACUUCCAUUUGAAAGUAGACACACAGAGCUACAACUUUAGAGAGUCAUAUGAACUUCCAUUGUGUUGUCUUCAUUCUUGUUGUCUUGACUUAUCUUAUAAUCCUUCAAGUUUGGGAAACUAGAUAGCUUGAGAAACUUGAUUAUUAAAUAGAUGUAAAACCAAAAUGAAUGAACUCAGUGAUAUCUUGGCCAUUCCAUUCUUAAAUCCUUGGGGUUGCAGUCGGACAGUACUGGAAAAAGUACAGAAGACAAUACCAUGAUAAAUGCUUUAUAGGGGUUCUGUCAUGUCUUGAACAUUAUGUGGAUUCUGUUGUGUUGCGACUUCCUUAUAACCAUUUAAGUUUUAAAUUGCAGAAGCUGCUUCUGCAUCAAGUGCUGGGUAUAGUCAAGGAAGCCGAGUGAGCCCUGGUGUAGUAGUUGGAACCUACAGCUCAUCUGAUCAUGGAGAUGGAAUUUUCCCUGAUUUGAAUCGCGUAGGCAUUAUUAUUCUUACUUCCUUUUCAUGAUGUAUACAACUUGCUGUCACAAUUUAGGAGACAAAACUCAUUUUUUCUGUUUCAUAUUUUAAGAUUGUAACAGCUGUGCUUGGAUCUUUUGGAAUUGCAAGCACUGGCGGUGGAAAUGAGGGGAUUGAUCUCCAUGUAAGUAUCAAAGGCUUCGCUCGUGAUCCUAUGUUGAAGUUUGUACUUUUCUCUUUUCUAUGGAUGAUUUAAAAAGGUGGUUUUACAAUUAUCCCAUCGACAAAAUCUUUGUUGGAAAUUUUCUUUUGUCUUCUGAGCACCUUUUGUGCUCGCUUUCACCCUUAUUUUCUUCACCUUUUCAGAUUUUAGAACCACAUAUUUUACAUGGGGGAAGAAAGAACAUCUCUAAGUCCAGUUCUAGGUUAGAAACAUGGUUUGAAUGGACUGAGCGUAGCAGGAAUUAUUAGGAAAGCAACUUUGUCUUAAAGGUAUGAUAUGGCUAGUCCAAGUACUUGUUGCAGCUUCAUAGGAGCAAAGAACGAGAGUUAGGAGAUGGAAAACAAAGGAUCACUUUACUGAAUUCUAUUGCGCUCUUAAAUACAAUGAGCAUGGUAGGUAUGCCAGUUUGUCUUGCAGUACCAGGGGGAGACAGAUCAGUUAUUAUGCCAGUUUUUAUUGCAGUACAAGGGGGAGACAGAUCAGUUAUUAUAACUCCUGAGACUACAUUAAAUGAUGUAUGGAUAGAAACAGCUCAGAAAAUUAUAAAGUUCAUUGAGGUCUCAGAAAGGGGUGAGAAAGCAGCAGUUAUUAGACAGCAUCAGAUCAAAUCUUCCUUUAUUGAAGCCAUCAGAAGCAAUAAACGGUCGACAGAAGCAAUAAAAGGUUCGACACCACCGAUCAUCACCUGCAGAAUGAGCCUCCCUGGAAGCUCUAUAGUUUCAGAAGACGAUAUGCUUGGCAGAUGUAUUGUUGGGAGAUAUUUGGACUUGAGCCAAGACAUGCCAACUCUACGAAGAUGGGUUUGCUGUAGCCUUCUCACGGAAUCAAUGUAUAUGUUAUGAAUGACUCCUGGUUUCUGGUUGAGCUUCCAUCUAGGAAGGAAGCAGAGCAUGUCAUCAAUGCUGAUUGGAGAUGGAAGAAUCCAAAUUGUCACUAGAAUGGUGGUCUGCCAUGCUGUGGAUACUGGCUGAAAGAGGUGGCAAGAAGCUGGGUAUGGAUCUGUUUUUAUGCUCUGCCUUUGAACUUGUGGUCGCUAACCACCAUCAAGCAGAUUGGAGAGAUGUGUGGGGGUUGGAUUGAAACAGAGGAAACAACUCUCAAAAAUCAUCUGCAUUGGGCAAGAAUUAAAGUUAGGGGAGACAGUAGAAUUCCCAAGAGAGUUGGAGGAAAGUGACGGUUGUAUUUUCAAAUUACCAAUUUGGUGUGAAAUUCUGACAAUGGUAGGAAAAAGAUGAUCGGAUCUUCAGUUUGACAUCCCAGCUUAGGAUAAGAAGUCCCACAUUGACAAUACUUAGGAGAGAUAUUGGGUAUUCUUUCUUCAUUUCUAUGGAAAAGCCGAUUAUCAAAUUCUAUAGGUAUAGGUUUUAUGAAUCAAAAAAAAUGUGAAAUUAUGUAAGCAGAUCGUCACCCUAGUGGUGCAUUUUAAACAGUGCAGGUAGAGCAGACAAUAUCACUAGACGUUACAUUCAAACCACAGGGUAAUAGAGGGCGUGUAUCUAUAUCUGAGAAACCUAGUACUAUAUUAACAAAUAUCACUCCAACAUUUGGGAACAUGAGUACAUUGACAGGUAGAGCAAAUUUUUAAUAAAUGUGCAUAUAAGAGACAUAUGAGUGGCUCUGAGUAGUUUAAAUUAAAAGGAAAACUUUGAAUAGGUAAGUGAAUUGAGGGUUCAUUUGUUUUAAUUAAGAUUAAGACGUUUGGAUUUGAAUACAACUACAAAAAAUCCAGUGUACUUCCCUGGUUGGUGUCUGGGAGAAUGUAGUAUGGACAAACCUUACCUUUACUUUGUGAUGAUAGUGAUGUUGUUUAUGAUAGACCUUCAACUCAAGGAGAGACAAAUGAAAAAAGAAGCAAUGAUAACAUACAAUAACAUCAUCAAGAUAAUAAGAUAAAUGACACAAAAAAGAAACAAUUAGAUAGUACUAAUGAUCUAAGCAUAAGCAACUUAAAAAAGUACUUCUAUGAUGAAAAUGAUCUACGCUAGGUAACCUACUAAAUCUCUACCCGAGUACGUGACCUCUACACCUUUUUAUGAAGGUUCAUAUUCUCAGUAAGUCAAAGUUGCACGCUGUCCUUCCUAAUCACCUUCCUCAGUACUUUUUUGGGUUAUCUCUACCUCUCCGUAUACCCACCAUGGACAACCUUUCACAUCUCCUCACUAGGGCAUUUAUGCAUCUUGACUACACGUCUGAACCUUGGCGUCUUAUCCACCACGGAGGCCACUCCGAUCUUGUCUUGAAUAUUUUCAUUCUUAAUCUUGUCUCCUUUGUAUGUCAAUCCAUUUAUCUCAACAUCGUCAUUUAUGCUACUUUCAUCUUUUGGACAUGGGAGUUCUUGAAUGGCCAACACUUUGCUUCAUACAACAAAAUUGGUUUAACCUUUCAAUAUCGAUGGCACAUUCUUAUCACACUGAACACCAAAAGCUAGCCUCUAUUUAGUCCAUCCCGUCUUGAUACGAUGAUGCCAUUGUCAAUCUCUCUAUUGCCUUGGAACAUUGAUCUCAUGUAUUUGGAACUUUCUCUCUUGGGGAUGAUUUGUGAAUCAAGCUUGAUGUUCACGUCCUUCCAUGAGUCAUGUUAUUGAACUUCCACUCCAUGUAUUAUGUCUUAGUUUUGCUCAAUUUUGAAACCUUUAAACUCUAGGGCCAGUCUCCAAACCUUUAACUUUGAGUUGACUCCAUUUCGCUUCUCAUCAAUCAAUAAUGUCAUGAACAAAUAACAUGCAUCAUGACACCUCUCCUUGAAUGUGAUGUAUUGGUGCAUCCAUCACUAAGGAGAAUAAAAAGGGACUAGGAGCGAAUUCCUGGUGCAACUCCAUCAUGAACGUAAAGUAUUUUGAGUCACCCUCCUGUCCUUACUCAGGGUCAUGGCUCUAUCAUACCUUUGCUGGUGCAUCAUCCUCGCCUUACGCUCCAACAGUUGGUGGGAAUAAGGUUGUCAAGAUGCCCCUUUAGCCUUAACAGUUGCAAAAAACACCAAGGAUUUACAUCAGAUCAAGGGGAGGCCUGAAGUUGUCGGCAGAAUUAGAGGGUCACCCCUGUUAGGACUUGAAUAAGAAUGGAAAAAUAGAAAGAAUGAGAAAAAGAGAAAUUUAUUGGGAGAAGGGGGAAGGGAUGAGAAACAGCUAGAAGCUGAGUAGUCGCCGAAGAAGACUAACUUGUUGUCCCAUGUUAAGGCUUGGAGAAGAAUGAGAAAAAAGAAAGGAGGACAGGAAGAGAGAGAGCGCGAAGGAGAGAGAAGGUCAUGUACAUGUAGGUGGUGGUCACCGAUGAUUUGGGUUCGACGGUGGAGGAGCUGCAUGGAAGGGCAUUUAGCCGUUUAGUGAAUACAUCAUUGAGAGAGUGCACGUGAUUCAGAAGAGAAAACAGAUUAGAUUUAAUUUUAAUACACAUCUGAAUAUUAUCAUGUGCAUUGAGAUCUAAAUGUCUGAGUCGUAAACACAUCAAAAUAUUGAGAUGUAUUAAGAUUUGAGUAGUAAAUAAGUAAGACCUUUUUUUGAGAAGGCAAGAAAAGACUCUUGUUUUUUAACAUCUAAAUGUAUACGAUUUGUCUAUUUAAGAAAUAAGAAAUAUAAAAUCUAAUAAAAUAAUAAACUAAUUUUUUAAAUACUACAUCAAUAAGAUAUUUUUAAAGUAUUGUAUGAUGGUUGGUAGUGGUAAUGGCUAGUAGUGGUGGUUGUGGGUGUUGAUUGGGGUUGCUGUUGGCUAGUGGUAGUGUCGUGGGUACAGUAGCUAGUGGUGAUGGUUGUUGCCAAGAGUAAUUGAUGGUGGAAGUGAUAACUAUCGUGCUGGAUGAUAGUGAUAGCUAAUGGUGGUGGUGAAUGAUGGAAGCAGUUAAUGACCGUCAUGCAUAGUGGUGGUUGAUGGUGGUGAUUGUCCGUAAUGAUUGGUGGUUGUUGUGGUAAAUGUGGUUGGUGAUGACAAUUGUAAAUUGUGGCCAGUGACAAUUAUGUUUGUGCUCGAAACAACCUCUCUAUCUCUAUGAGGUAGUGGUAAGGUCUGCGUACAUUUCACCCUCCCCAGACCCCACUUGUGGGAUCACACUGGGUAUGUUGUUGUUGACAAUGAUGUUUGUGGCUGAAGAUGGCAGUUUUGGAAGUUGAUAAUGUUGGGCGAUGCCGGUAGCAACAAAUGAUGGAGUUGGUGAAAUGUCAUUUUUAGAGAUCUUUAAAUAGGCAUUUUAAUGAUAUUAACACUUCGUUACAAAUCUUAAUCAUUCAAACCAAUUAAGUGGCUGUAACAUUAAAUAACAAAUCCACUUAAUAGUUAAAAUCUGAAUGACUCAAGUUCAGACCUAAAAAAUAAACACACUUAUUGAUUGAGAUCUAAAGGAUGAUUAAGACCUUCAUUAAGUGUAAACAAAUGAGGCCUUUCUAGUUGAUAUAAAUAAUGAGAAGUGGAGCUCAAUGUGGUGGCUAAAUUUUUCUUUGUACUAUAAUAGUGAACACAAAUGAGAUAUCUAUGUGGCUAGUGUCUUCAACUUAUCAAAAUCUUAGUACCACUAAUUAAUCUGACAUGUUAUUCCAUUAUGGUUACUUGACAUGGUUUGGCCAUAUUCUAUGUCGAUCUUCUAAUGCAUCGACCAAUAGGUGUGAAAUAUGGUGACUGUUUAAAAGGCAUGAGGUAAACUUAAAUCACCUCUUGGAAAGAUAGGACAGAAUGGAAAAAAAUAAAAUAAAUUUAUAUAGGUGAUACCAACUCUCUUGGGAAUUCCUUAAUUUAUUGUAGUCAUGUUAAUGCAUUUACUUUAGGUCCUAUGCUUUUCAAGGGUCUUUUAUCCCGAUUUUAUAUUCCUAUGCAUUCUAAGAGACUUUUAUCCCGAAUCAUAUAUUCUUAUGCCAAUAAAAAAUAUAGAGAACUUCAAGUAUUUUUCAUUUUUAUUUUUCGAAAUGUUGGCCUGAAAUGAAUUUAAUUGUAGAACAUGGGUAGUGAGGAUUUAUAUAGCCAAUCCAACUUGUCUGGAACUGAGGCAUAGUAGUUUUUCAUCAUGGUCGUUAUGUAGAACCUAAGUACCCUCGUCAUAACAAAAGCACAUCCCAUAUGUGGGGUUGGGAGGAUUCAGUCUUGGCCGUGGGAUAAUCGUUUGUAACUUUGUAAACAUGCAUGCUGUAUUCUUUACAGGGUUUUGGUCCAGCUAGUCUAGGAAAUAUUAGAGAUUCUGGUAGAUCACAGACUCAGCAAGCUGAUACAUCGGAUCAAUCCAGCUUCACUACUAGUGCUUCUGCACGUCCGACGGAUGUCCCAGCAGAAGCUCUGCAAGCACGGGUAAAUUUGGCAUCAAUUAUUUUGACUUCAAUUAUCCUUCAUGUUUUGGGGGCACACUCUUCAUAUAACAUGUAACCAAAAUGUUGGCCGUCUCAUGCAUCAUUUCAGAUGGUAGAACAUUAUUCAUAUGUAUUUGUACUACUAUGUUUUUCCAUGUUUAUAUCUUUGUUCUUUCCAUGCAGGUUAUUCCUGAUUCUCUUACAACCUUGACUCAAUAUGUGAGCCAUUUAACUGCAGAGUUCAGAGCCAAUGGUAAAAAUCCCUUUCUCUUCUUUUACAUCAGCUCGCCUCCUACAAGAGAAGGGGUGGGGGAGUGGGGAGAGAGCUGUUCUUAUUAACUGAAAUUUGGUGUUGGCAGUUAGAGGACAAAGUGAGACUACACAAUUUGCUGGUGUACGUGUAGCAGAUAGAACAGAUUUGAAUGCUACCACCCAUUCACUCGGAGAGAGGGGGUUUCCGACACCUGCAUCCUUGGUGGAAGUGAUUAUUUUGACACGAGAAUUAUUCAUGGAACAAGUUGUAGAGUGUUUGUCGGUAUGUGCUUGAAAUUUCCGUAGUUUUUAUUUAAAACUGCUAAUAUCUGGCAGAGUAUUUCUUUCUGCUCCUGGACUUUGGUCAGAGGUAAGACCGCAAUGUGUGAUGUGUGGUUUGGCAUAAUCAUGGGCUUGAACCCUAUUGCGGAGAAUUUCUUGGAUACACAAACACACACACAUACUUGGCGAAGCUGUAGCCUUAGGGAAGGUAUAGAUUCUUGAACCCAACCGAGUGAGUGAGGGGUGCUUAACUAUUAUCCUGAUUUAUGCUACCAGCUUCAUGCUUUAUUGAAAAACUAGUGCUGUUUGGCCGGUGCUAAGCCUGGGCCCAAACUAAUUUAAGAAUUAAAUAUGUAGAUAUUUUUUAAUCUUUCUGCUGCUCUUACUUCUUUGUUUUUGUAACAUUAGUUUGACACGUUUUAAGGACGUCUAAAAUAUUAGAAUUACCAGUGGGUAUGUUGUUGAAAAAUUUAUUAUUUGCAAUUGUUUAGCAUUAUAUAUUGGUUGGAGAUCAAAUUGUAUUUUCUUUAACUACUUUUUUUUCAAACAUUUUCAGAAUAUACAUGGAAAAAAUGUUUUCCUGUUCCUUUUUAUCUUGUCAUUCAUCAGGUAAAUUUUAUGUUGAAAGUGCGCACAACAAAAUUAGAUUUGAUGUACUAUCGUACUCUGAAUUCAUUUUUAGGUUGAGACGAAAGGACUAUAAUUUACAUUUUUGACCUCUUUUAAAGAUAUUUUAAAAUGAUACUAGUUAUUUAGGCUUAUUCUUUUAAUUUAAAACUUAAUCCUACCUUAAGUAAAAUCUUUGUUAAUUACUUGUGUGUUUGCCAGCAGGUAUGACAUUAAGUUAUUGGGGAAAAUAAAAUAUGAACUUUAUGUCUAAUCGAUGAAUAAAAAUUUUAAAUAACAAAUAAUAAAUGAUAAAUAACAUCAAUAAAUAAUAUUAUAAGAAUAAAUUGUAGUAGUGAAUCCUUCUCUUUUGCUCUCGGCGCACGUUAGUGCUAAUGUGCACUUCAAUGGGAAAUGGGGAGGGGACGACCACGGAACAUCUUUCAUGCUUCUGGUUCUGUGGAAGGUGAAAGGGCCAGGGAUAAAACUCCGGGCACAUAACUCCUGGGGGAGCACUCUCCAGGGACAUAACAACAUUCUGUCACCGCGAGCUUAGGGCAUUGGAUUAGGAUUCCCCCACCUCAUAAAACAUCAUUUGAUGCUUCUGACACAUAUGAUAUGAAAGAAGAUGAGUCUUUAUUCACCUUAUCUGGCAUAGUUUCUUUUCAAGAAAGAGGCAGAGGAUAUGAGCUUGACACCGCAGCUAGGCGUGGUUCCGCAGACUGUAUACGUGGUAGGGCUCGCUUCAGAAAGUAGGUUUCCAAGCCUGCAGAUUCAAGAGUUAAGUUAGAGGCUGACUAGUUAAACAGGAAAUUCAAAUGAAAGAAGGUUCUUUCACCUUAUAUUGAUUCUUUGUUCCUGCUUCAACUCAUAGAUGACUAUCCGAGGAUCACUCACUCUACUAUAAGACCACUAAGAGGGAUUAGAUUACCAACCCCUCUUUCAAACUAGAACUUCAGAAUAGCUACGCUUGUCGCCCGCUAAAGCAAUUGUCGCAGCUCCAACUGAAGCAAUUGUAACUGCUUUGGUGGAUUAGAGCUACUCGAAAACCGUGAUAGGUGCUUGAGAUCAGAACUGCUUACAACAGCCUUGACCUGGUCCAAUGGAAAGGGAAAGCUGAAAGAAAAGAGAGUUUCAAUCCACAAAUGAUCCGAUACAUAUAAAGAUGAUACUUGAACUCGACUCCGUGAAACCUUGUUUGAGCGAGAGGAACGGACAACAGAUAAAGAGUUGUAGCUAGGUCCUAUAGAAAUUGGAAUAAAAGCUUGCCGGUCACGUGGAAGGUCUUCGGGGAGCCAAAAAGUGCUCCAUAUGAGGCCGAUCCAAUCUCCAUUGUGUAGCCCUUCAAGUGCUGAUAGACCGCGAGCUCCUGUUGUUUUUUAUUGGCAUGGACUGAACAUGGUCCCUAGCUGUGAACGUAUGUGUUGACUUCGUGAAACCUUAGUAGGAUGGUUCACUGGAGAUGCAGUGUACUCGGCUUUUCCAUUUUUUUUGUCUUUGCCUCCAACAGUUGAAUGGGCUAUAGCUAAACCUGCCCUUUGUUUUAAGAUGUGGUGCCACGAGAUAUUUGAUUUGAAAGUACCUUCUCAUUGGGGCAUGUCGGCAACCUUGCGGCUGAGAACUAUUUGGUGCGGGAGUAAUCCAUCGAGCUGAAUGCUUGGUUGUGUAUUCUAUCGCGCCUAGUAAAACAGGCAUCCCUAUACCUAUGUGUCUUGUGUGCUUAUUAGUGCCAUUGAGGGGUGGCUGAAGGUUAAGCGUACACAUGGGCUCAUCCCCACCAUCGAUCUAUAAAUUUCCAUUUUUCGCAAUUUUGGUUGUCAAGUCAAGGUAUGAGUGUAUAGGGGCGCCAGACUCCCUGUGCUGUGAUGGGUUUUGCCAUGUGAAAGCGGUGAACUGCUUGUCAGGGCCAGGCUAAACCAUGAUGCUAUGUUACUAGGCUUCGCCUCUCCUUUCACCAUGAAAGUCUCGCUCCUAUUCUUUAAGAAAAAGAAGAUGGAAACUGAGCUUGAUCAUCUAAUGGAAGGGAAGGAAGAAGUGGAACUUUGCAUAAAGUGUUGAUCGAUGGGGGUGAGUAGAAAUGAAUUGUUUUUCAUUAAAGUAAGAUUCUAUUUUAUUUGUCUCCCCCCNNNNNNNNNNNNNNNNNNNNNNNNNNNNNNNNNNNNNNNNNNNNNNNNNNNNNNNNNNNNNNNNNNNNNNNNNNNNNNNNNNNNNNNNNNNNNNNNNNNNNNNNNNNNNNNNNNNNNNNNNNNNNNNNNNNNNNNNNNNNNNNNNNNNNNNNNNNNNNNNNNNNNNNNNNNNNNNNNNNNNNNNNNNNNNNNNNNNNNNNNNNNNNNNNNNNNNNNNNNNNNNNNNNNNNNNNNNNNNNNNNNNNNNNNNNNNNNNNNNNNNNNNNNNNNNNNNNNNNNNNNNNNNNNNNNNNNNNNNNNNNNNNNNNNNNNNNNNNNNNNNNNNNNNNNNNNNNNNNNNNNNNNNNNNNNNNNNNNNNNNNNNNNNNNNNNNNNNNNNNNNNNNNNNNNNNNNNNNNNNNNNNNNNNNNNNNNNNNNNNNNNNNNNNNNNNNNNNNNNNNNNNNNNNNNNNNNNNNNNNNNNNNNNNNNNNNNNNNNNNNNNNNNNNNNNNNNNNNNNNNNNNNNNNNNNNNNNNNNNNNNNNNNNNNNNNNNNNNNNNNNNNNNNNNNNNNNNNNNNNNNNNNNNNNNNNNNNNNNNNNNNNNNNNNNNNNNNNNNNNNNNNNNNNNNNNNNNNNNNNNNNNNNNNNNNNNNNNNNNNNNNNNNNNNNNNNNNCCCCAACACACACUCACACCAAAAAAAAAAAAGACUUGUUCGAAAUGUGCUAGGUUGUUGACCAAGAAAGAAAAAAAUGGGAGUCUUUGGGCACUGCUAGGGCUAAGUCAAACAUGGGACGAGUGUUGUAUGGCUACCUAGUGAUUUACAAGCACCCUCACAACACUAACCAUAGUAAACCCAUUCGCGUUGUACCGAAAUAGAGAUCUGAUUUAAACGACUAGGUGCAGCAUAUGAGUUCGAUCCAUUAGGUUCCUUUUUUUCUUUCAGAAAAGAAACGAGAGACAAGAAAACAUCUUUGAUUACGAUUAAAAGGAACAGUCUCAAAUAGACCAAGAUCCAAUUUCGGGUCAUUUCUUGGUGAACAUGAUCUGCCAUAAUCUCUUCGAUCCCUUCAUUUAUGUGCCAGAAUAGAGAGAUAUUUGGUAGGAAAGUGGAAGAUACCUUUUUGUAUAUGAUAAUCAAAGGGAGUGGGAAAGCUGCAGUAAUUCUUUGGAAAAGCCCGGUUCUCUUUGUCUUCGAGCUUUCAUUCCUCAAUCCACUGAUUCCUUCCUUCAUAUACCUCCCCACCAAUAGANGAUUUGGUAGGAAAAUGGAAGAGACCUUUUUGUAUAUGAGCCCGCUUAGCAAACGAGGCUCAGGACGGGGUGGAUGGUUAUGGCAUAUCGUAGAUCGGACUUUGCUGUUCCAGGCUCCAGGCUAGAGAAGGGCUAUUCCAUAUCAGUAGCUAUGCUAGCUCGAAAAGGACUGAAAGAACUUACAUUAGGUCGUGACUUGAGGGUGAGGGGAAGGAAUCAUAGCUGCUAUAGAAUCAACAUCUUACUCUUUAACGGCAAGCGCAACAACGAGAAGUUUUCCUCUACUGGAAAGCAGUCCUUCACGGAUAUGGGAGCUUACUCCGCUGUUGCUGGUUUAGUAAGCUAAGCAUUUCCAUCCUUUAUGAUUAUGAAGAAGGAAUGGAUAGAGAGGAAGGUGAAAGGCUUUCUUUUUCUUGGUGUCAACAUAGGUUUCGGAAACUGCUGCUAAGAUCCAAAGUUACAUAGAUUUCUCUCUUUUAGUGUGGGGGCAUUAGUAAAAGGCCUAAGCGGUCUUAGCUCCUUCUCUGGUCUUGCCGCCCUUGCCCCUCUUCUCUUUUCUCUUCUUUUAGAAGCUGUCUGUGAUCGGAACUUCUUUCGCUUUGAACGACUCCGGUCCUAUUUCAUCUCUUGCCGCGGCUAGUCUCUUUGUAGUAGUAAUAGCGGGAGGGGGGAACUCUUUUGAAAGAAGAAAGGAUUUGGUCUCAAUAAAAGAGCCUAUGAAAAGAAAAGAAAAUGGAAUUGAAAGUUCCUUGCCUUAGACUUCGAGUUGACAGAGAGGAAUGACAGAACUCUUGGCCUUACGAGACGCGGGCAACUUUGCUAUUCAAAGGGAUAGAAGUAAGAAAAUGUUGGAAGAGAUGGCCUUGAGCCUGUUCUGGGUUCUAUUAAUUAAUAAUUCGAUUGUGCCAGGUCACUGAACUUAGAGUAGGAAAUUCCAGUGAAAGCUUCAUCCUAAGAAGACUGAAGAAGAGCAAGAACAUCGGGCAUUCCUAUUCCGAAAAGGCUAGCUGCUGAUUUCACUCAACCUCUCCUCGGCUCACUCGCUGCCUUAGCCUUAAGUCUGAACCUUCACUCCGGAAGUUCCUUCGUUUUGUUUCAAUAGAAGCUAGAUUGCCGCCUUCAAGCCUAGAGAGCAAGAAGCUCUUCGUGGCAAAGGUCUUGCACGUCUUUUACUAAGAGCGGAUAUGCAUCAUGUUGUGCUUCUAAACGGCAGCAAAUCCUUCUCACUUUUUUGAUGCGAAUUGAAUACGCAGCUCUAAGACGAGGGAAGCGCUUAAAAGCCCCUUUAUUCAUACAUUGAAUUUCGAGAGGAUAGCAACGGUCUUCUUCUAGCUCCUCGCGGAUUCUCUGUAUUCUCUUCCGAACAGCGGAUUUCCUCUUUCUAUUAAGAAAUUCUAAAGAAAAAGUCCCUCGGACGAGGAAAGAAGGGGCUUUUGAUCGAGAUGGGUAGAAGAAGCACUGCAAAAACUGUGGGAAUAAGGAACUAACUUCGUUCUAUUGCCUAGUGUCUGAGCUAACAUUAAGGAAUAGGCGGGAUGCUUAAGAAAAAAAGAAAGUGUGUUUUCAGGUAGCUAUGGAAUUGCUGCUAGUAGACUGAAAGGCUAUUCCCUCCCUAACCCUAAGGUAACCGCUACGCAACUCAUUUCCUGGGCAAGCGGGGGAAUCGAAUCAACCCGAAAUGGGCUUUCAUUUCUUUCUC